rnacentral:lncRNA from 1 species
GCCCAAGGUCUAUGAUACCUCAAAGUGUUCCAAAUGAGGUUUCUAGGCAGACAUUAGCCUCCGAGCGAAUCUACGCCUAGGUGUUUUAGCACUCCGAUCGUCUAACAAAGAGGGGAUUUCAGCCUAAACAACAAGAUCCGGUUGCCCAUCAGUUCAUUAAUUUAGGAUUUCCUCAAACAUAGGCACUCGAGAUCCGUCUUCAUGCAAGGAAUGUGGUAAAUAGCCUGGCAAAGGAAUCUUCUAUAGAUGGACCGAAACCUGACCUAAAGGAUUAGCCUGGGGCAGCAAAAGUGGUUCAAAGACUUAACCCUAUCCAAUUGCUGCUAACGAUGCUUCUUUUUUUGUGUUUACUGACACAACGAGCCCAACAGGAACCUUACCUCUGAAAAAUAGGACUUGAUUACAGUAAGUGGGGCUGGCUCUUAUAGGAUAUCUAUUUCUAUCUGAACUAAGGUUAUCCAGGUAUCGAUCCUAGUAACAUGUGCUAAAGCACCUUUCCGGCAAUAAAUCCGCUGAAUAUGCUUUUGGGGGAGACUCCGCUCAGAUCUUAUUCUGUAUUCUUGUUUGUCUUAUUCUGUAUUCUUUCUUGUUUGUCUUAUUCUGUAUUCUUGUUUGUUAAUGGGUGGGCCAAAGCUUUGCUUUGCCUAGCGUUAGCGAGAAAACUACAUAUUUCAAGGCAAGGCCAGACCAAUGGAUUGAUUCUAUGGCAAAGGUGGGUCUGAAAGCGUGUAAAUAGCUUCUGGUGGACCCAAACUCUGCAAAAGAAAGGGUAAAUGGAUCCGAACUUUGGCCUGCCUUAUUCUUUUUAGUAUAGGCAUCGAGGCUAGAAGACUGUGAUAGAAAAACACUCCGCGAGGCAGAAUCUUCCAACCAUUUGUGUGUGGUUGUAUAGUAAUCCAGUUCGGCCUGAAGACGGGUAUAAAGUCAGUAAGUUUCGAAUGGGAGAGCAAAAGAGGCGAAUAUCAAUGACCAGACGAAUCCGCUGCAAGGGCAUCCGCCUAUGUUGUUACGCCAGUGAUUGUAUAAAAAGAGUGAAACGAGCAGACCUUGAAACCUAUAUUUGACACCUAUUAGGUAUAAGGUAAAGACUCUCUUCCCUAAGCUCUGAUAUAAGUGAUUGAACCUCUGAUAUAAGUGAUUGAACCCUGAACCUUUAUAAGAAAAGAAAGUGGCAAUACGGCGAAAGCAGCCGCCGCUUCUUUCUUCACAGACUGCGUAGUGAUAAGAAAAUGCUCAUGCCGUUGACUCAGAUACAAGACGGAAAGUGGUUGAUGACGACUUUGAGUAGGAGGACUAAUUCAUCACAACAGGUUGAAUCCCUUGACUGGUGUUUUAUUAGGUCUUCUUAUCCAGCAGAACACUUGCAUCUUGCUUUAGAGGCCCGAAUGCUUUUCAUUCUUCCAUCUUUAUAUCGAGGGAUGAGGAACCGGAUUCUCCUGCUUGCUUUCCGGAAACCCAUUUGAGCUCCUGGUGUAGGUGGCGUGUUUCAAUUAGCACUAAAACAUUGGGGGAGACUUUUCUCCUCAUCGCUAGCCUGUUUCCAAGAGGGAGAAGAUAAGGUAUUCUGGCAAUAUACGGCAUACUAGUCAUCGAUUCUUUGGACAUGAGCGAUCCAACACAACCUAGGAACAGUUGUACGCCUACAACUCCCACCUACCAGACCAAGGGAAGAAGUGCUCUCUCCAUAUUGCCUUUAUUUACUAUACUGUUAAAAAAGUGUGGGCAAAAGAAAGGGAUAUAAGCAGCUGUGGAAUCCAGCGGCAGGAUAGAGACCAAAGCGGGAUUCAAUGACUUUUGAAAGUGAAAGGAUGAAAUCCAGAAAUAGAAUAGGAGAGGGAGUUGUCGUCCAGCCCUAGUCUUUCGCCUUAUAAGUUAUUCUACGCGCGAUCCAGUGCCGUUGAAGACGAGAUUUCUUUUGACGUUACGAUAUGUCUCUGGGUUGCCCUAAAUAGAGGGAGGAUUGAUUCCUCUGGGAUUUAUUCCUCUUAAGCUAGAACCCUAUCCAAUUGCUUUUCCUAUUCCUGAGUUGUAGCUUUCUAACGAUAAGUAUCCGAUGGCUAAGCCGUGGAAGGAAUACUCUGGCUAAGGCAUUGGAGUGCCCCUAUAAGAGUCGUCCUUCUUAUAAGCCAUUUCCCGUUAAGGGUCAUAACCUUCUAGCAUUGGAUAUUAUCUUACGGGUCAUAACCUUCUAGCAUGGGAUAUUCUAACAAGUCAGAAGUUCAAUAGCACCAAGAGCCUAAAGAAAGGAAAGGGUCUCCUUAGUUGCUUGCCAGUUGAAGCAAUGCUUUGUCUUUGUUGUUACCUUUCAUUCCAUUCUAUAUGUGGAACACUCUAUUCCUUCUUUUCCUUCUUGAGCGAGAGGUUAGUUAGCUUUGUUUUGUUACUAAUUGAUAGAAUUAGAAUGUGCUUGCUUGAAGAUGAAACUCAUACUAGGAAUGGAACUCGACUGAAGGAAUAUGCUUAGCGCUGAAGAAGGCUAUAAUCCAAAUAAGGGAAAUAAGGCUUUCACGACCCGAGGCACUUAGGCGAACUCAAGGCGAUAGCUAAUAGAAUUGAUUCAUAAGAGAACCUAACAGUGCUUGUUUGCUUGUUGAAUAUCGGAGAGAACCUAACAGUGCUUGUUUGCUUGUUGAACUACCUGCAGCUUUAUCUGAUCCUACUCCCACUCAGGAUGCCACAGAGCCUUGACCUGGACCUGAUGAUUCUGAUGAUACUGUUUCUUUCUACUUGCUCUCAGCAUUCGAUUCGAGAGGAGAUUCGGCUUCUCAAUAGGAUUCAAGUGGAACAGUCUAUUCUUAUGCUUCCUUUCGAACGGCUUCUGAUCUUUAUUCGACUCCUGCUUCGUAAGCUUCUGAUUUUCAAACUUCAACCCGGAAACAGCAUUCUUAGAUUCAGAAAUUAUUUCAUCCGAAAGUAACUGCACUCGCCUAAGCCAAGGCCAAGCUAUUUUCAAAAAGGCCUCGUAUAUAUAAGGGAAAAAGUGCAGAAGGAUUAGGAGCUAACCAUAGUGAUAUGAAUGUCCGAUCGACUUAUAUAUUGAAAUAGAAAACUUGGGUGCUCCCUUUGCCUGCUGACCCGAAAUUCACCAAUACGGAUAUUUUCUAUACACUAUAGGGCUCGGUUUAGACUAGGCUGUGUUGCUUGAUGAAAGAAGCGGAUCCGGGUGGUUCAGCUGUACUCCUUGUACCUGUCUCUUCCUUAUUCGGAUGAAGGUGAGUGUCAAAGUCUAGCUAAGGAGUAGGUCGUCCUAUCAGAUGGAGCGGAUAAUUACCCCAUUAUCUUUUUCUUACUAGUUGGGGUCAGGAAGUCUCUCUCAUGCCGUGCUCUGGCUCCUGAUGCGGUAGUGGACCUGCUCUGCUUUGUCCUUCAAUCCAAAUGAAGGGCUGUAGUUUCUGGUUUUCAUCAAUGACUUUAGGAGGUUAUCUGUACGCUCAAUGGCUGCUAAGGGCUCUCAGUAUUCUUCAUAGUUUUUCAAAGUCAGUGGGUUGUUCGAAAGGGAUAUACAAGCGGAAUGAGUUCAGAAUCCAGCUACGUCAGGUUCGGAAUGGAAGUCUAUCUAAUAGAAAUAGGCUAGCUCGCUCGACCAUAAAGAGCAAGCCAGGCGUGUAACAAGACUCUACUUUUGACAAGAGUCCUCAGCCUCAAUCUAUAUGGUGAAAAGGUCUUCUAGGUGAGUCAAGCGUUACCACCUGCACUCCAUCUAUUGGCUUGUUACCUAAGAAAUCGAACCUCCUUAUGGAGGCUCACCUAUGCCGGGGUUGAUAAGAUCGGCCAGCGAAAUCCAAUAUCCGAAUGUUUACCAUUUCUUUUUUGAAAAAGGAUCUCCUUCUGGGGUUCAUUGAGUUCAGCUAACCAAAAUGUUGAUUCUUUGGGUUUGGGCGGUAUCUACUUGGUUGAUCCGGAUUCUCUUCCAUCCAUUUAUUACCUUUGAGGCUGCGUCUGGAACUAUAUAAUAUAGGUAGCAUCAAUGAAAGAUUUGGUCCUCGUUUAACCAAGGCGAUGGACUGAAAAGCGCCUUUCUUGGGUUAAGUGCUUUCCAAACAGUUGUUAAAGUAGGAGAUCGCAGCUUCGGCCGAUCAACUCUAACCUUUAUCUCAUCGGCGGGUGGAUCAAGUAAUUUAAAGACGUUUCUUUCUCAAUCCAACGACAACGAUGAUUACCUAUACAUGAUCUCUGGUUUUUCCUUCCCUUUCUCUUAGUAAGUUGAACAAAAGAAUGAGAUGAAGUUGAUUCCUAAUUCAGAAAUUCUCAGUUGAUUAGCAAUCAAUGCUAACUAAAGAAAAGGGGCAAGAACACCUUGAAGCUUCCAGCUGCGUUGUUGACAUGAACGGUGCACGAACGAUGCUCUGAGUUAGCCUAAGCCUUGGGUUAGCCCAUUUGAACGGAUUCUAGCCCCACCACUCUUUAAUAAAGCUGCUAAUGUAGCUUCUUGCUUCUUUGAAACGUAUGGGGCAGCCGCUCAAGCCAUUGUUCUGGUUGCGAAGCUAUGAUCUGCUUUCAGUUGGUCUCGCCAGUGUAUUCAGAAUCUUGUAUAUAGAAAAGGGAAGUGACUAAGUAUGGUUCAGUUCACGAAGGAACAAUAAUAAGCUUAUAUAGGGCGCCCGACCAAUGUAAAACAACUCCAAUAUGUGGCUCAGUCUUGACUACACUGCUCUAAUAGCCAGACUCCAAAGUCGGGGCGAACGCUCAUGCUUUCUUGCUGCUCCCCUUAUUAUAUAAGCGUGGUAUAUCGACGUAGAGCUUUUUCCAUUUCAUAGGAAUGAAUGGUUUGCUAUACCCCCUAAGAUGGGAUCGUCAUAGAUUGCGUACCAAUCCCCACAUCGUUUGAGCUUUUGGAUGAUGAUGUCCGGCGGAGUCGUCUCCAUGAGUUUGAGUUGCUCGGCUGGGGUGCUCGUCCUUACCUUAGUAUCGCUCUUUGGACUAGCAUCAGCGGCUAUAUCACGGAUUGAAUCCAAUCAAAACUCCCCCCACACAAAAGGGUCCUGCUUGAUAAGGUACCUACAAAUGGACGCCCAGUUUCUAUGAAAUUGAACAUCCAGCGUGCUCCCAUUCAUUGAAUACCCGCCUUAUUCUCUUCGUUGCUGUGUUUUUUGAGCCGUAUGCCCGUGUAAAGGUUUUCGCCGAUUUCGGAAUGGCUUUCCUUCGCAACAAGAAUGGCGCGGCAGUCGAACAGUUCCUUAAGCCGGUCCCCACUCUGGAUUUUCGGUUGGUCUGCCCUCUGCGUGACUUAGUGUUAGAAGUAUAUACUAUCGGGGAGAGUAGACACUUUCUUUUUAGUCAUGGCGAUCGUGUGGCAUCUAGUCAACUUCACGGCAGGAUUGGAUUUGGGAACGCUUAAUAAUAGAUCUCUCUUCACUUUUGAUCAAUAUGAGGUGAUCGUAAGACAGUAUAUAAUACUCGUGAUUCUGGCAAUCCAAUCUGUAGUGUGUAAAGCUUAAGCCCCCUAAAAGAGUUUCCAAAAUGGCAUCAUCAACACCUGGAUCACAAUCCCCAUUGUCAUUGGACCGGUCCGCUGUGGUACUAAACCAUCUCGAUCACGGGUUUCAUUCAGAAAGUGUUUAUGUUACGGCACAUGCAUAGAUGGAAUGAAAAUGAGGCUUUUUCCCACACCCCGGAGGGCCCAACAAAGUGAAGUCGAAGUUCCAGGAACGGUAGCUCACUGAACGAAAUCUAUUGCAUUUAGUAGGGAAGUAGUUUGACCGCCCCUUAGUUGUAAGAAUCAAUGGAUUCAACAAGGAAAGACAAGGGAAAAGCAAUGCUUUUUCUUAUCGACCGAACUAGACUUUAGAGUUUGCCAAUCCAUCAGAACUUUGGUAGGCCAAGGUGUAAACGAACAUAGAUAAGCUAAACUAAUGAAAAAGGCAGUUUCUUUUUGCCUCCAACGCAAAGCAAGAGAGGCUCGCAUGGUGGUUUGGAAUCAAUUAUUUCUCAAUGGACCACCCUUUCUUUGAACCUUGUAAAUGAUCGAACGUAAAAGAUAUGAACUGACUCUUAACUCACAAUAAUAAGCCUAGGCCUACCCGCUUUCCUUUCGGUCAGCUGCCACUCAACCGCUUUAGGGACUUCUGGCCAUUACUAUCAAAAACACUUUCUUUUCACCUUAGUAGUCCUAUACACCUUUACAGACUCCAUAUUUGUAGUACCUAACGCGACAAUACAAAACCAGACGAGAGAUCUCUCUCCACCUCAUUAGAGAAGUUGAUACUUAGUCCUUUUUUGUUCAGGCUAUUCUCACCUUUUGGGGCAUAGGUAACAGCUUUCUGUGUUUCCAUUGCCCUCAGCCUGUAGGGUCGGGCGCCCAGAAAAGAGGUCGGGCCCGGAUAAGACCUACCUUAUUCAAAGAAGACGGGAGGUGUCGGCUAGGCUAUUCUAACCGAGCAUUAACCAUAAGUGGGCCUGGUAAUACUUAACGCUUUAGUCCACAAAGAAUUAAUGGAUUUUCAUGCGAAGAUAGGAAGAUUUAUAGUCUCUCUAAGGGAUUAGAUGAUUAAUAUGUGAAGCUUUUUCAUUUCCUAACUCGACUACCCUUAACAUAAAGAAAGCCCAUAUAAUAGAAAGUUGCACCCAAUCUAGACUCCACUCGAACUUAGAAAUACUCAUAUAAAGUAGACCUUGCCUCAAAGCCUUUACUUUAUGUUAUGUUUCUACUUUUGAUUGAGACUCAACCGACGCAGAACCAUUAACUCUCUCUCUAUGACACUACUUUGUUUGAGCGUAAGCGGCACCCCAAGAUAUUCCAGAUGAUUUACUUAGCGUAAGGUACCGAUCAUCCAUAUUUGUUUCAUCCUCCCCCUUCCUUGACUUUGUCGUUCACUAAUUAAUACAGAUCUCUGGAACAAUACACUCAACCGAUGGAGCACUCAACUUCUUGCCUUUACUUUGAUUAAGGAUUCAGGGCAGAAUAUAGUACUGGCCCCAACAACAUAAUGUACGCUAAGUAGUCAAAGUCGUCCAAGUUAAGACUGUAGUUAGCCCAUGAAGACAGAAGGUUUCUUUACUCAUUCUAAGACAACACUAGCACCCAAUUGAGACGACCCCUACCCUACUGCUCUAGCAAGGGUAACAAGUAAUCAGGUAUAUCAACGACACAAACAAGGGCACAAGAAUAAGCAACGUGGGGAGAUAACAAUCUUCAAGCGACAGAACAAGGCCUCAAUCUCCUCUAUCUAUAAGCAAUGGGCCUAUCCUAUAUUCUUUGACUUUCUAGGGAUGCGGAUAUUCUUCUCUAUUCUUUAUUGUUUUGAAGCAAAGCAGUGUCCCCUACGAUCGAUAGAAGCUCACUACACUCCAAAGCUACCCGGAGACAAAGAAUCAAUUCUAUCUCUGAAGCCUUAUUCUGCUUCUCAUUCUGUGCUAAGAUCAAUUCGAGUUUUCCUCUUAGCAAGAACAAGUAAUAGAGUUCCAGAAGACAUUGUGCUAACGAGGUCUGGAGACGAGAAAGAAAGGGCCAAGCAACGUAGCUCUGUGAAAGCAACAAACUAAGGCUUAUGUACUUCAUCAGUAGAGUAUCUUGAAGCAAGGGCGAGAAUGGAGUACUUUUGCAUAGGGUUCCUCUGCCGAUACGAGUUCUUAAAGCUAUGCUUUGGGGUUGGUUACCAAUUUCUAUAUAAUGUGUCAGUUUUCUGAUUUUCUUUGAAUUGUCAGUUCCAUAAUUGUCAGCAGCAAGCUUAGAAGCGGGAGUAGUUGAAGAAGCCUCAUCUCAGUGAAAGUGCUUUUCGACAGAAUGGAAUUUCUGGAAUCUGGAUAGUUACGUUAGUAUAGAAGUAGUUAGUAAGAGGAGCUUAGCUUUCAAGGUAUAGUUCGGUUUCAAGUGUUGUUCUCGUAGAUAGAGAAUCAGAGGCUCAAGUCAGGUCAUCCGCAAGCAACGAAGCGGGACAAUACGUUUACCAAGCAACGAAGCGGGACAAUACGUUUACUGGGUUUGUUUCUGUAUUACUAAGUAGUUCAAGUUUGAAAGAAGGGCUUUGAAACGCUAAGUCCUGAAGCAUAAGAAGGAUUAGAUGCUGUUUUAGGUAACAACAUUCUAUCAGUGGUCCUAGAGAGAUUAGCUCCUGACGCACAACUACUACUUGCUGCUGCCGCUUGAACAAAGGAAUUGAGGAAGGACGAAGAUACUCCAAAGCUUAGUCGAAUAAGUCAAACUUGAGACUUUCACUCUUACGUGUAAGUGAAGUUACAGUAUAGUACCCGGUAAUUAGAGAAUAAGAGUGCAAAGAGGUUAAUGAAGUCAGCGAGAAUGGAUGGGAAAGAAAGUAAGCAAACUUUAGGGCUAGUAGCUCUGCAUCGGUGGUCUAAAGGAAGGGUUGGUUUCGCGGUGUACUGAUGAGGGAAGGCUUUUGAAGCAGUAAGUGAAUCAGGCGAUAAGUCAAUAAGGUUGCGGUGAAGCAUCUAAGGUGUUCUCCUCUUUGGAACAUAUAGAAUAAAGUCACAAGAAACUCACGUUAACACAACUCAUAGAACUCCUAAUGAUAGUCAACUAGCGUUAGCCGAAUAAGGACUUGUUGGGCCUGUGCGAAGUCAACCCUAAAACUCAUAGUAAGGAAGCUGACGCGCAACGCCUUCUGGUCCUCUCAAACACGCUCGCUAGUACUUUAUCAAGAUUAUUCCCCUCAACGAAAACUUUCAUCAUUAAGCUAGGAACCCCGAAACUAUAACUCGCAGAGACACCUGAUCAGAGCACGCACCUUUAGCUAAGUUGAACAUAGGGUUAAUGCAUCUUAUGGCUAAUCAGAAGGAAUGGAAUGGAGUGUGCACCUCGUAUGUCAUUUAGUAGCAUAACUCCUUAAUCACAACACUUUCACUAUAGGUCCGGUCCGGGUCCGCUCACCGACACUCCUUACGCACAACGGAACUCUACUUCAGGACAGAAGCGAAGACAGAAGCGAAGGAUGAGGCAAUCUCAUCUGCACUUUCUCCGUUAGCGCCCGAAUUCCCUUUCACAUUUGUUCUUGCUUAGAGUCAAACAAAGAAGGAUUCUCUAACUCCUUUAGCGCAGAUCGAUUUCACUGGCACUGAUGCGCAACUCAAAGAUGCAUUUCCAUUUGAUUACUGGUGUUCUAUGUUCUAUAAAGGGGGAAUAGCGAUUUUGCAAACAGGAAUUGAGCAGCCUUUCCUUACGCGCUGAAGAAGAUAGGACAAUAAGUUUUGUUACCAACAAGAACAAGAGCAGAGGUCGACUUAACGGAACAAGUAACAGAAUAAGAAAAAGGAGACUGUGUUGAGCAAAACUCAUGUAAUCAAGUAACCUGACUCUAGUAACUCACGUAAGUGCUUAGGAAUCAAAAAGAAGAAAAUGUUGUGCAAACAAAACUCAUGUAAUCAAGUAACCUGGUAAUCAAGUAACCUGACUCUAGUAACUCACUGUUGACUAAAAUAUGGAAUAUCGGCACGGCACCCUGAGCAGCUCGUUUGCUUGUUCUUGUGCCCUUGUAAAACUCCUUACGCACAACCUCUGGCGGCGCCCUUGCCUUUAAGAUUCAUUGAUGCUCAUUUAGCACACAUCUAUGUUAGAUAGAAUUCCAGUAAAAACGGAGCAUUGUAACAGAGCAUUGCUUUAAUAAGCCUAAGCCAUUACUGCAUUAAGCUAUCGGCAGUUAGCAAGUUCUUUGCGUUAGCACGGUGUAUUUAAGUGGAGUCUGUCUCGUGUACUUCAGUGGAAUCUUUCUCUUACCCGGAUUACCCAAUCCUAUAUGAUCUCGGUGUAGCGCCCCGAAAGUCAAGAAGAGAAUUUCUCGAGGCCUAAGAGAAUGUGAGUUCGCCGCACCUUAUUAGACCAAGCACAGAGAGAGGCAUAGGCAUAGGUUAAACGAUGAGAAAUCCUAAGUUCAAAAGCCUUAUAUGCCCUGUGCAACAUCUUUUCCCGCUUCUGCUUCAUAGAGAGAAGUGAUUGACUUGACGUCGGUAGAAAGAUGAAGUGAAGUUACGCCCGAAAGAUCUGUAGCUGGUAAAGAGGCGAAAGCAGUAUCAUCAGCUGUAGAAAGUCAAUCAAUCAGUAUAGUAUGUAUCUUGGGGUGCGAGAUAAUCCGCAGUAGAAGGGACAAGAUAGAGAAUUUGCCAUUCGAGUAAUUGACCGCGACUCCAAAUAAGGGUUUCUGCUACUUUAUAGUUGUGUACUUCAGUAUGAGGGAAGGGCUUUCAAGCGCUCUAAGUAAAUCAGUUUCGUAGAGUUCCGCUCUUCCAUAUGAAGCUAGGUGUGGAUUCCAUUCUGUCUUUCGAGUUUAGUAGUGCCUUGGCCCGUGCCUUGGCCCGUUCCUUGGCUUAGUUUCUUAUUCAAGCUGUGCUCUAGGUCUUGUCUAGUCGUUGCUUGGCCCUUCUCUUCUUUAGUUCGGGGCAUCAUCUAGUACUGGCCGGCCGGGGAAAGUAUUAAUCCAAUACAGCAGGCCCUACAACAUAAUGCGCGAGGUGCUGGAUAUAGAGAAAGGUAUGAUUCCAAACCACUUUUCUGGAUAUAGAGAAAGGUAUGAUUCCAAACCACUUAUAUACUUUAGCUCUCCAUCAGGGUUUCGGUGUACUUCAGUAGGUAAAGAUACUUGAGUUGGCGUAGGAACAAGAACUCUAUCAUAUGCCGAAGCGGAAACUAGAGAAGAUGUGUGCGGGGUAAGAGAGUGGGCGCAGGGUAUUUACACCUUUCUAUGCCCUGUGCUCUAAAUGAAUAAUGCCAUUCUUUCAUUUUGUUGUAUGUAAGUGCCUAUUCGGAUUACUUUAGAGUUUCGAUCAGAAGCAGUUGCGCUUACAGAAGGAGUGAAAAGCUAACGUUUAUUUAGUCUUGCAUAGAAUAUAUAUAUGGUAAAGAAGCUAGAUCAGAAGCAAGAAGGAAUGUAGACCUUUAGUUCGGGUCGGGUGUGAGUUAAUAUUUCUCUGUGGAAUCGAAGUUUCAGUUUGAAGCGUGAAAAGUAUUGCCUGUCCCAAUAAGAACAAGUGAAGGGACAAGCAGAUGUUGUACGUCAGUGGCGAAAGGAAAAGUGGUGGAAUUCCUUGUUUACUCGCCAAAAGAUUCCAUUAAUGAUGAAGACAAGCCAGUCUAUACAAGACUAAGUGGGGAGAGGUUCGGUAAGAGAGGUUAGAGUGCUUGUGUCUAAGGUCGGUGCUUGUGCGAGAAGUGAUUGUUUUGACCUUUAUUGUCUUAGAAAGAGAGAAUCCGGAGUAGAAAGAGAAGAAGAUAGUACUUAUUAAGCAAGGUGUGGUCCAAGUCGAGUGAGGGCAAUCCGAAGCUUCUGCACUUAAGUCAGCUGCUAUAUGGUAUGGAUUCCAAUAAGAGUGUAAUAGAUAUAUUAAGAAAUUCAAUGAAAAACGUAAAGUCGACCAGAGAAUUAAUCAGUAGAUGCAUCAGGCCUAGUAUCAAGAUCAAGUCCAAUCGGUUCCUCAAGUCAAGUAAGAGUGGAAUCGACAAGAUAAUCAUAAGUAAGAGCAUUGGCAACAGUAUCUGAAGCUACAUAAGAAGGAAAGUAGACAACAGAAUCCGCAGGAGAAGGAGUGAGAGCUGGUAAAGAAUAAGAAUAAGAUGAGGCAGAAGGGAAAGUGGACUUUCAUUGUUUGUUUGAUCGUGAAGAUCAUCUAUCUCUUUGCGAGUGGAGUUUCAUCGUAUAAAGAAGAAGUGCCCAGAUGAGGCAGAAGAGGGAAAGUAGACAUCGACUCUAGAAUCAAUAGGAGAGGGAUCUCUCAGUGGGAAGGCUUUCAGCACCCGAACACAGGACUUUAGCCAACACCCGAACCACCCCUGUACUCUUUCUUUACCACCUCUCCUCUGGCUACUGGGUUCAAUUAGAACUGAUUCCACUCGGUCGGUACUAGGUAUUCUAGAACGGAUUCUACUCUAACAAGAACCGGGGCAAGCAAGAACAAGAGCUGGAGCUGCACUACAUGAAUUCUAUCUUAUAAUAUAAUAGAACUGAUUCCACAGCUAAUCUCUAUCCUGAAGCAGGGACAGAAUAACUACUUGCCUGCUGACUCACUUUCGGCUUAACCUUGAAUUGCACUUUAGCCAACAUCCGAACUAGACUUGAAGACGAAAACAGGCCAUUCUCUAAGACACCUUGGGCUAAGGGAAACUCAUAAAUACCAAUGUUUGGGGGGGUUCCUCAAUUCUAUAACUUAUUGCACUAACCUUCUCUUCUUUAGUUACUACAGGGGGACAAUCAGUUGAGUUUCUUUCGUAGGGGAGAAUGAGUAACUACCCGCGCUCUAUCCUCUUCCUCUCUUUAAAGAAAGUCUGAAUGAAACUAAUACUAAGGAAUGAAUGGGAUCCCACUUACCACUUAUAGGAAUGAAACCCAUAAAUAAGUAUAUAGCGCAUCCCUAGGAAUAAGAAUCCACCUAGAAAUUGAGGAAUUAAAGAAUAGGGAGAUACCCAUAGCAAUAAAGAAUUCCAUUCGAAAGUAGAGUAUACGCUUGUCGACUUGGCGUACUCUCUUAUUGCCCUUUCUUUCUUCUCUGAACCCUGAAACAAUACCACCAGCUCUAGCGGGACAACAACUUUCUACUUUACCUCGAGCAGAAAUAUACUCAAGGACAGAUGCGUUUGCGCCAACACCCAGAUAUCGAACUAAGGAUUCUCUGGAAACUGAUGAAGAUCUUGAAACUGCUUGAAAUCCGACCUCUGCUUUUGUGAUCCUGCUUUCUAUCUGUCUUCGGUUGAUUUCGAGUCUACUAGCCUAUCUAUGUUAAACUCUACUUCUGUAAGGGUAAAGAACAGGAACUCAUAUAAGCCUUAAUCCUAUAGUGGUCCUACUUGGCCAUUGCUCUUUUUGGGUCUAAUCCUAUACUCAUUGCGUAAAAUGGCUUGCACCCUUCCUUGUCUGCUCGUCUCUUACUUUCGGGAUUCUAUUUCCAUUCUUUCAUUCCGACUUAUGAGCUUGCUCACUACUUAGUUGCAUUCUGUAACCACACCUAGGUAAAUCCUCUGUCAUAUGAGUUGAAGUCAUUGAGUUAGUGUUUCAGGCUUGCACUGCUGGAGGUAAUUCCGAGCCUACCCAGUAUCAGUCUUCCCUGUGUCACUAGUGCAUUCUCAGUGGACCUACUUAAAUGAAAGCCUGUCAAUCCCUGUAGCUUCGGUGGACUAGUUAAAGCCUGUUACUACAGAGUUGCAUUCUGAGUUUCCUAUAUAUAGAGAAGAAUUCAUUUGAUAGGGAAUGUUAGUAGUUCAUUAGUAGGAAAGCCCUUAUUGGAAAAGAGAUCUUGUUUUCUGGUUGAUUUUGGAUUUGAUUGUUUCUGUUAUUUGAUUGUUUUUGAUUCCAAAUUGAUUUAUCCCAUGCGAUUGGAUUGGAUUCUGAAGUCUACUCUCUUCUUUAUAAAGAAACUAAUAGCUUCCCUUUCCACUCUAACUCUUUCCUACCUCGACUCUGUCAACUAAGUCAGUAAACUACCCGAGCAUCAAAGCUAGCACUCAAAGAUAAGAAUGGAAAUGCAAGGCAGAAACUAACUAUCCACUUUUCACUCACAAACAACCAAUAAGGGCCCGACCGACCUCUUAUAAGUGUUAACCCCGAACCGAACUCUUACCUAAGUAAACUAUCCCUCUGAUCUUGCUCAUGAAACUCACCACUCGAACAGGACUCCCGGAGACGAACACAGCACUUUGUCAACUAAUUCCAUUCUGACUUGCUUGUCAACUUCAGACUAUACUAGGGAUUCCGGAUACUCUACUAAAGAAUUAGCUGUGCCAGGAAAGUAGACCAGACCACCACUAAGAAGAAUUCCACUCUAACAACAACAGGAGCAGGAUCAGACUAAGGAUUUGAACCAGGAGCAGGGUAUGCCUAUGUUCUUAGGCUUCAAAGGAGCGUUAUUGACUAGCUCGCUACCGCGCAACAUGAGCAGUUGCUUGGUUCUUUUGUUUGAUGGGAAAUUCUUCAUUGAAACUAAGAAAUAGUCCUUAGAGUGCAUUUCUUCCCUAUAGAUUUACCCUCUUGCUCUGCUCUUUAGUAUCCAUCCCUGCAUCCCUACUUCCGUAACUAAGGGACCGGUCUUCAACUAUCACUCGCCAAGCAACUAAGGAAGGUAGAAAACAAAAGAAGAAACCCAGCUUCAAAGCCUCUCCUCAGGACUAGCUUCCUCUCCCCUAUCGCUAACUACUGGCUCUGCUCUGUCAACAACUACAGACCCGAACUGAACUUAUUCUCUUGCCGACCUCGCCUCAAGCUUACCUCGAACAGGACUACAACGAUCCUAUCCCCGGUUGCAUUCUAAUAUUGACUACUGAGCAGCUUUCUCAUCUACUUCUCCUCUGGCUAAUUCCUCUGUUUCAGGGCAGAAUCAACUACUUAUUAAUAGACUUCCCGCUACUCCUACUUAUACGACUAGUUUGGGAUUCCACCAGAACUCUCACAGGAACAGAACUACUCGACUCUCACCUAGACUCAAAGCAAGCAAGAUUCUUCUUAAACACCCGCACUCUUUUCUUUAUAAAUCAAUUAAUAGCUUCCCGACCUCUACUCUGGACUAGAGCAUCUCUUCUACCUAUGGAAACUGUAAACUAGGAACUUAAUGAGGUAUAUCUCUCUUCUAGGGAUAGAAUUCCAGGUAGUUAUGACCUAUAUUGACUAUUUCUUCCCUUGCAGACCUCGACUCAGGCUCAUCUAAUCUCUUUCCACUCCGGCUUCCCUCUCUACAACUACAGGCUCUCCUCUUUCAACUAAUGCCAAACAGGUCACCAACAAGCACCGGCUACUAAUAGAUGGAUGAAACUCGGUUAAGCCUUAUUGUAAACCUUGCAAAACCCUGUAGUGCUUCUUCAACAACUACCCGCGCCUAGUAACUGACUUGAAACUCCAUCCACUUGAUACUUAACCUCGAACUGGGGCAAAGGGCUUCUCUCUUUCUACAAAUACAGAUUCCACAGCUGACCUUGCAGACCUCCUAAACUGCUUCCCUUCUCUCCUUCUUACUGAACUGAAGUAAAGUAUCUUUCUGGAACUCACCAAAACACGGUAUUUUUCAUAGCAAUCGGAUUUCCCCAGCUAGACCGAUCCAAUCCAAUUAGAUUUGUGCGUUUUCCCGGGAUUUUAGAUAGCGACCCAGUUUUCCUUCCUAAACCCAGAAAGUGAGAUUCUAUUUUCACGUUUUACCGUGUUUUUUGGUUGCAACCAAUAAGAGCUCCUGCCGCGGAACGUUAGUAGUUCCUUAGCCCUUCCUGGAAGGUCUGAUUGAGAUUACAAUUUCACGUUUUCCCGUCUUUUUUCGUUGCAAAUAGAGAAAUAGUAUGGGAUGGUACUUCACUUAGACUUCAACUCAGUAUUCCACUGGCAGAACUUCUGCUGUUGGGCCUGGUGUUGGUUCUUUCAAUCGAGUGUUAACGCCUACCUCGACUCAAUGCUAAGUGAAUUAGUUCUUGCCCACCGAUUACCUGCAUCUAGUUUACUGGGAUACCACCGAUUCCCAGCUACUGGAGUAGUGGAUAAGAAUUCAACCUAAGUGUUUGAGAAGUAAGAAUACAACCACUAACAACUAGAAUCAAACCGCUAGGGCAAAGCCUGAAACAAGGUAUUUACAGAACCAAACCAGUAACAACUAGGCUAUAACACCUAACAACAAGACUGAGCCAGUGCACAAUCGGCCUGAAAGCAAGGGUAGCUAGACCUCAACACCUAAAACAAGCCUGAGAGGGCGGAGUGAGAGAAUGAGAGCAGUACCGAUCAGAAUUGACCUAAGGAACCGGGUGUUGAAGAAGUCGGGUCGGUAUGAACCUAAUGCUACUAGUAGUUGCUUGGCCCACUUCACCUUGCUUCAAAGCCUGUAUGCCAGCUUUGCCUGUAUGCCCGGUAUGCCAGCUUGGUCCCUACUAUAUUAUAUCUGGUAUGCCCGCUUUGGCCCUACUAUAUGCUUUAUUGAUCUUUCUAUAGGAUUCUAGAUAACAGAUGAAACUCAUUCCAGAUUGGAAACACAGAGUCAAGGAGAACUGAAGGAGACGUAACUAACACACAUAUCAAAAGGUUUUUUAAUCCGCGGAAGCCAAAGCAGUGUUCCCUUAAAGGAAGCAGUUAUUGUAGAUGGACCGCCCCCUAAAACAUAAUGGGGGGUAAGCUUACUCCUGAUUCUCAACUUGUUGAACAAACUAAUAUUAGCAUCUACAAACUCUAUGACUCGUUUAGGUUAAAAGCAAAGGGAAGGUAUCGAGUCAACCGUACUCCAGUGCAGGAGCAAGCCAAUCACCGACCCGCUUAGACAAUACAAGCCGCAGAAAUGACACUCGAAUGGCCCGGCCCAUAACAGAGACACCAGAAUAUACUCUUUCUUUUGCUAAGGUUGAAGCCAUAUUCAAGGUUGCUCGUAGGGAAAAGUGGAUCUCGCCCUGUAGUUAACUUACGAGUCCAAGUUUCACAACCAACGGCAUAGCCCAGUAACUACUAUACAAGUAGAUAAGUGACUUUCGAAGAGAGGGAAGUGUAAUAAAGAAAGUUCGGGUAAAGAAGUAUAGUCCAGGAGUGGGCAGUAGAGAAAAGAUACUAAACAUUCCAUGAUUCAGUAUACGCUUGGCCUCGGGGUUUGGUAAAACGAGUCCCGUCAACUUGUAUAUAAGUGCCAUGGUGUAGCAGUGAAGUUAAGGUCAUCAUGUCAGGUUAGGCUCGCUGACGCGUAACAUUAGUUUGCUAAGUUAAGUGAGUCAGUUCUUUUUUGAGUGUGCUAAAGCCUAAUGUGUAAUUGGUUUAUGGGGUAUAUGGGAUAAGAAUAAUGAAUCCAUGAUGAAAGCUAGAGCGCAAAGGUGAAGUUAACAAAAGGAAUAGCUGCUCUCUCUGCAAAUAAGGAAUUGAUUGAAUCUCUCUCUUAUCGAGCACCUAGGAAAACAGUCAAAACAUUAAUGGAUUAUCGAUCACCUGACCUGGUCCAGGCAUAGAUCUGAGUAAAUACACUUCUUGCUUCCCUUGAUUAUUCUUCUUCCUUCCCGUCCUUCCUCCUUUAUUGAAUGGAAAUUGAAACUCCCUUACAGUUAGUUAGGGCAAUCUUAAUGAAUUUGUUGAACGUAGAAGAACCGUUCAAACUUAGGAUCCUGAUCUUAACCCAGCUUUUUGUGAGAAAACAAGGAAUUUCAUUGAAUUAGUUGACUACGGAGAGGUGUGGAAGGAUACUCUACGCAAAAGUGAACUAUACUCUUUGAGGGUGAGCGAGUGAAGUCUCUUUUGGUGCUUAUUCAAGUCCUGUCCAGUUUGCGAGAGAAGUUCGGUACGCCUUAGUUGCAGACUUAGAUUACUUGUAGGGCGAAGUAGUGUCCUGUUACUCUAAUUCUAUAUGUUGCUCUUUCUCCUGCCUCCAUCUUAUGCUUAUUAUCCUUAUUCACUUAUACUUAUGCUCCUUAUUCAUAUCUUGAUUCCCUUGCUUCCUCACCUAUUACAGUUGGCUCUAAAGAAUAGAAUAGAAUCUCGGCGCCAUCAUAAAAGAAUGAAGCGGAAUCAAAUGCAGGUUAACUCUUGACUCUAAGCUUAUCCGCUUGGCUGCUGUAAGUGCUCCAAAUUCCAUACUUAUAUGACUAGCUUUAGAUCUUUAGCCCGCUCCUUCUGUUCGCCUAGUGCGAGUGUAAUCCCAUCUUUCAAUCAAUUUCUACAUGUUAAGAAUCUGCUCUGUUCCUGUUUGUUCUGUAGGCCCGAUCUAUCCUCGCUUGCAGCUGAAGAAGUAAUUGAGGCAUAGUCCCCUUACAUAUAGAAUGUCGGCACCACGAGUUGGUUUAAGAAUUGAGGCGGCUGCCUCCUUUGAACAAAAAGCUUCUUAUUCCCUUCCCUGAACAAAACCCUCUGCUCAGCCAAUAAGCUCUUUCUCUUUCGCCAGCUAACUAUCUCAUGGUAAGCACCCGCUUCAUACUCAUCAGGAACCUGCAAUUCUACACUACUUACUAUUCCUCUUCUGACUAAUGUUACUACAUCAGCUGUGCGUUCGAGUGUUGGCUAAAGUCCGGGUAGUGGUAAAGUUAUGGUUCUUGUUUCAUACCGAGCUGAAGAAGUGGAAGUGAAAGGCUUACUUUAGUUGUUUCAUCCCCUUAAUUAGGAGUGGAAUCCCCAGUGACUUUAGUUGUGAGUUUUACCUAUAAGUAGUUAAGGUAUUGUUCGGGCUAUAGCCUAUAGAGAACCUGGCCUGUCCGAACUAGGGAUAGAGUUUCACUAGAGCUGCCCGAGUUUGUCUACUUAAGGGGUUAGCUUGUUGGACAAUUAGUUGAGUGACCCCUCUUUACCUUUGUAGUAGUUGGUAGUAGUGGCUGGGCAGUUGGGGAAAUCAAUAGUAUAGGCGACAUCCCGAGUUGCUUGUUUAGUAUAAGCUUGCCUGAGAGCAAAUAGGUUCAUUCCAUUCUUUAGUUGUCGGCCUCGGCCUGGCCUUCCCGUCUUUCACUCUGAAACUCCUUUUUCUCAUUCUUCAACCCUUGAACUUAAGUCUGACUUUCUCCCCUGUGAGUCUGUAACUCCUGCCUGGAAUUCCUAUGUGAAAGUGUGAGUCUUAGCCCCUGACUUCGCUGUCCAAGUAAGAUACCGGGCAUAGGCCUUUUACUCAUUAGCAUAGGAAUGGGCGUACUAACACACAGGAGCAGAAUUCCACUCAUUAGCAUAGGACUGAGGAAGCAGCAGAUAAGGAAUGCACCUUAGAAGUAAGGGCAUCGGGCUAAGAAUGGAACUUUAAAUACAGAAGUUAACUCACUCGUUAUAGUCUGCCACCCCAUGCUCGCAUUCUUGUAGUUGUACCUGGCAUUGCCGUUCUCUUGUCUAAAACUUCUACUCUUCUUUUAUAGCCUUUAAGGUUCGCACUUUCAUUCUGAUGCUUGAGUUUGGUCUGACUUUCGUGUCUCUCAGUCCUAUGCUCUUGUUUCAAACCUACACUCCUUGCUAAAAUGCCAAUGUUCCAGUUUCAGUCUGACUAUUCUUUAUCUUAUUCUUAACCCCCAGGCUCUGACUCUUCCGCUCUUGUCUCUCGGGCUUACCCUCCUUGCUUAAAGCCUUGCUUUUGAGUUGAAGUAUCCCCCUAAAAACUCGGACUCUUCCGUUCCGCUCUCUCUGUAUUACUAUUCUGUCUAUAACUCUGUCGCUCCUAACUACCAAACUGACAUUCCUUUAGAUUUGUAAUAAACCCUGUAUACUCAUUCUUGAUUAUUACCUUGGAUUAGAGUUAUUACUUUGAUUCUGAAAUUGCUUAUACUUCGAACAGAGAUCCUCUGCUCUAAGGCUUGGAACUAUAAGUAUUAGAAUGUCCGGUAGGGGCUGGCAGUUGGUUCAGAAGCUAAAACAAGGGAAUCAGGCUCUAAAGUAGGGCCAAGCAACGGGACAAACUACUAAGUAAGCCGGGCAAGUCACUAAGGGCUAAGUAACUACGAGUUACACUAGUUGCAUUCUUUGACUAAUGAGUUUGAUUCUGACUCUCACUACUUAGUUGCCCUAGAUGCUGGCCUAGUAAAAGACUUCGGACUUCCUCCUUACUCCUUACUGCUGGCUUCCUCCUUACUAGUAACUUAGGGCUUACUCAUAACUUCCUCCUGACUUCGGGCUUACUCUUUGAACUAAGGCCUCUAUACCUCUAAAACGGAUACUUGCAACCCGGCUCACUGGUAUGAUUACUUAAGAGAACAGAACAGAUAGAUACAAAUACGGAAUUCCAAUCUAACAAGAACAGGGGCGAGCUACUACUCUAACUCUGAGGGAAGGCACGACCUGAAGUGAAGAGAAGAGGGGCUUCCUGAGUGAUAUAAUCUUUCCAGUUUUACGUCGGUGUCUGAGGGCCGGACAGAGCUUUAGUUUAUUUAGCUUCCUAUUCCGAAAGUUCAGUAUGGGGUAUUGCUGCCUAUCUCAUACUUUAUAUUAAUAUUUGGACUUUUACUUUGAGAGAAUUGAUUCUGGGCUUUGUCUUUAAGAGAAUUGAUUCUGUAUAAUAGUAAGGGUCCCCAUUGCCCACUAACGGUAGCGGCGGUUACUCGAGCAACGGAUUCUAGAACACCUGAUUUGCGGCAUAUCUGUCAUUGGGUAUUUAGGCAUCCUUUUCGAAAGGUAGGAAGUAAGUGAGCAAGCAAGCAAAAAAGCAACUAGUUCAAUUCAAAAAGAUGUUGAUGUUGUGCGCCUUACUUGAAUAAAAGCAGUAAGCAGUUUUCUAAUUUAGAGUUGUUGUUUCCGAGGGAAGCAGCAAUCAAUUAGAAAUCGAAAAGUCACGUUUCAGUUUCAAGAUCUGACAACAGUAUCAUAAGCAGCGGAAUAGCCAGUUCCUGUUUCAUAGUGAAGAUCAUAUACUUCUGUUCGCGCACCUCUACUUAUUGCUGACUCCUGACUUGAAUGUUAUACCUGCUGCGGACUCUCAAGUACAGAAUAGAAAAGAGACAACAACUUUCUACUUAACCACUCCCACAGAUCCCGAUCCUUAUUCUUCCCUUGGUUGUUGACUUGCUCUCUUGAUUGAAGCUGCCUAACACACCCCAAGAAGUAAGACUGAAACGCGUAACUAAGACUUAGUUUGAUAAUUCACUCAUAUGCUCCAGGGCGGCCUAGCACUACUUUAACUUAUCACUUGGUAUUGAACUCAUCAGUAUUAGUACACCACUCCUAACUCCUGAAGUAGUCCUCAUGAGACUAAAUACGUACCGAGAGAACGAAACCGACAAGGGGCCCCAGGGAACCACUCUUAAGUAAGUAUACCGGUCAGAGCUAUAAGACUAACUUACUAGUUGGAUUCCGUACCUCUUGUUUCUUGGCCCGACACUACUUACUUAGAUUAUGUAUUCUUCUAUACACCUAGGCUCUUGCAUUCCACGCCAGUUUCAAACUUAUACUCAUACUAAUCAGAAUAGAACCCGUGUGAGCUAUACCAAUACCAGACAUUUGAUUCCAAUUCAUUAGUGGAAGAAUACCUGUCUCAUCUGACGAAACAGAACUUAGCUCAUUAGCGUAGGACCUAAACAUAUCAAAGUGAGCCUGGCACUCCGAACUCGUAUACUGAAAUUGCUGAUCUAACAUCUGGCUUCACCCGCAGUUGUUUGAGUCCUGUUACUUGUCGAGUGAAUUCAGUCCUGUCUUAGGGAGCCCUUAUUUGUGUUAUCAUAUCCAAAUCGGGACAGGUAUCCUUGCCUUCUAGUUAAUUCCUUAUUAAUGACAAGUUUCAGUCUGAUGCUUAUUCCUUUGAUUCCAUAUUUGGUCUGAUACUUUUACUACUGGCUCUAAGUCUUUUACUUACUCAUUGCAUUCUGACAGGUCAAAAGAGAGGGAGUCCGCUCCUACUCGCUCUAAAACUGCCCUCAUGCUUAGAUGGCGAGUUCCCCUUUCUUUCAUGCGUAGAUGCCGAGCUAUAGCUCUAAGACUUACUUUUAGUGUAACGCAUGGGACUAAAGCAGCUACAACUAAAGAACAAAACCUGUGCUAUUAUACUGAAAUCAUAAAGCAGGAAUCUAACUAUGACAUUAAUAAAGGAACAGCGGCUAACAAGGCUUAUCCUUCUAACUGGGACUUCUACUCAAAACUAGUGGAUUUUUCUCUCUUUUCAUUAUAAGUAAUAAGAGUCUGGCUGGAUGAAACUCAAGGGUAGUAGACUAAAGCUAAGUACUAUUAGAAUAUGGGCCUUAGUCAAUAAUUGCUAGCGCAUCUACUCUACUAGUUAUAAUACAACUAAUGCCAUUGGAACUAAACUACAAACUACAGGACUAAAUCAAACAAUAAAGAACAGGACUGGUGUCUCGGAGAACCAAACUCUGUAUUUGGAGAAUAUGAUGUGUGGUAGAUGCAUCGCAUCCCUAGUGAAUUCAACUCAACAGUAAGAGACUUCAACAAGUAUUAGUCCGAAUUGAACUAUAGUGACUCAAAGGAUGAAAACACAGCUAAAGAACUUCACUCUCCAAGCAAUGGUACAAUUCACUCUCCAAGCAAUGGGACAAGUUUCUAUUAGAGGAAUCAACACUCGAACAGGAGACUUAGCGUGGGCCCGGGUAAUCCCCUAGUAUAAGAGCAAGGGAGUGAAUAAGUAAUUCCACUAUAACAGAGGAAUGAGCCCCUCUUUCCGGUAACUAAGAAAUCAAUACAGAAGUAAUAAUGAGGAGUAGUCGUAGGCAUACAGAAGUUCACUAUCAGCUAGGAAUAAUAAGUAAUGGAAGAGGAAAGUAACGACUACAAAUGCAGGAUUGCGCUCAGCAGUCCAAGAGUGAAGCUAAGAAUACAGAUUACUGCACCGCCUAACAAACAACAAAGACUACUGGAAUGCUACUACCAAGUAUAGAUUCAACUAACUCCUCUGCUAACAAGGAAUUCAACUAGACACCAACAAGACGACAACAACCCCUACUGAAUGAAAAGAAGAAACCUAUAGACACCAACUCAGACUCGCAUUCCUGGCUACCGGCCUAUAUCUCUUUGCUUUUACCCUGACACUACUAGGAGCUAGAAUGAAAUCACUACCGCCGGCCAAGCAACGGGCCAAGCAACUACUACAGUAGCGCGGCAGGGUUUCCCCAGAGUAGUUAGAGAGAUUCAGGCCUUACAUCCACUGUGACAAAGGUCAUAGCAGGGAAAAACACUUCAUUCACAGCCAGGAAAGAAGGCUUAAGGGAAGGUUCCUGAUUCCUUGACCUAUGCUUCGGUUUACCUCUAUGCUUCGUUGACCUUGGAACUAUAUUCCUCUUUUUUGAUUGACCAGCGGGACUCCUAGGUUUUGUCAUCGCCUUGCCGGCACCUUCCUUCCCUGAGCUCACCUCCUCUACCACCUUUCUAUAUGCCCUUAGGAUAAGUCAGUCUGUCUGCGCAAUCCGCAAUCAUUAACCCGGCUCUACGUCUUCUUAAGAAAGGUGCGUCUGUAUUCACUUGCAUUCCGACCCGAACCUGAGAACUAUCCACAAGACCGCUUACGCCAAACUCGAGAAGAAGCUUUAGAAGGCGAGGUUACCAUUACUUGUUAUUCCACUAGUGAUAUUUGGGGCAAGAUCAAUAUAUAGUGAUCCGUUAUGAUUGUUCAAACUACGGUAAAUAGUGGAAAGUAGUUAGGCCUUACUUAAGUCUGGUCUCCUCUCCCAGGAGUGAGUCGAUGAAAGCCAAUAGACAGAAGCAAGGGUAUACUUUUCGCUUGACAGGAACUUACUUGCAACAACCGGCCGCGUCAGGAGCUAAAAGCGCGUCAGUAAUUAGUGAUUUUAGAGUCAUUACCGAGUCCCUAUCUGAUGGAUUUGCCAUAGGAGGAGUUUCCAGUAGGUUAAACAACUUCUUUAUUACUUGCUAUGUGUUUGUGAGCCAGAGAGGGCAGGGAAAUUGGGGUUGCAUCCAGUAAUAAUCUCAUAUCACUGACAAAGAAUACAGAAUCCACUAAGGGCUCAUCUACCGCCAACUUAGAGAAAGAAGUAUAUGAUGAAGCCUUAACCUAGCCAAUGGAGUAGUGAUCGGUAACACCUCUGAUUGUUGGUUACGUUACAGAUUGUCCCGCUAUAGCUGGUAUAGUUCCAUAAGCCGAAUCACAGUCCAAGUUCUUAUGCCCACCUAGAAGAUUAAGGGAUAUGAAGAAAGUACUGGUUCGGGUGUUGAUGCUGUAGUAGCUCCUUCCUUGUCGUGGAGUAUAGGAUCUCUCUGUUCGCCCUGUUCCACUUAUAUCGUAUGUUGAAGCGGAAUCUACUCUCCAAUCUCAUGCCCACGUGGACUAUGCGGUGUGUGAAGCAUCUAUUGCCGGUGUUAGUGUGUCUCUUGACUCUAGAUCUUAAGCAUAAGAAUGAAAGUAGACAAGCGGUUCUGCAAGUUCAUUGGAUUACGGGUCGGGUGCUAGUACUGUUGCUAACUUAUAUUACGGGUGCUUUCAGUUGGUUCCACAAGUUUUGUUCCUGUUCCGGAUCUGAUAAUAAGUAAAGGGAAGGGGGUUUCAAGUUUACCAGUCGUGAAAGUUGACUAUAUGAUUUGUUUGUAACAUUCCUUCCUACCCUACCUAGGCUUAUAUGCGCUGUACUACAAAUUCCUGAUUUUUGUUUCAAGUGUUGAGUCAGCUGUUCGCCCAGUUCGACUUUUCUCGUUGUUUAUAGAAAGAAGCCCAGAAGAAGCGGAUGCUGGAAAGUAAACUAAUCUGACUCCUUCGCCAGGAAAGUAAACCUCAUACUGCUUGCGCACAAGGACGAACUCAUCAGGUGUUAAAGCCUUAUUUGCCCUACCAUAACUUCUUCAGCGCGGUGAAGAUAUAGUGGAAUCUUUCUUUGUUGCUUUAGCCCUCGAAAGAAAAAAUCCAGUAUUUGUUGACAGUGAAAGUGAGCUGUGCGUUAGCUUAGUAUAGAAAAGGUCAUAUUACUCAAUAUAGAUAUAUACUAGAGGUUAAACAAAGGGAAAGUAAGCGUUAGCGACCCGACCCCGAGAAUCAUAAGUGUCAAGUUACUCACUUAUUGCUUUUUGAAUGAAAGUAAGCGGUGAGUGAAUAAGUUUCAUCGUCAACAGUUCGAGGAAAAUCUACAUCUACAAGAGAAGACUCAGUUUCAAGAGAUUGUUCGGCUACUGGCUUUGAGCACGAGGUUUGCCACUUCAUUCUAUAAUACGGGUAAGUGGGGAACAAGAAUGAUGUCCGUUUGAUAGCAUCUUAUCUUGUAGUUGAUCAUGAAAUUCUCAAUUCAGAGUUUGUUGGUGACUUCUUCUACUUAGUGGUGUAAUUCCCAAGUGACUAAGUAAGUAUUAUAAUAGUACUAUAGGAGUUUUCAAGUGUUCAGUAACUACUCUGGGAUACUGUGCCAGGAAAGCUAUGUACUUGUUUCUAUCAUCCCUAGCAAUUAGCCCUAGCUCAUUACCUCUUUAAACUAUCCCUCUCCUCGCGUUACCAUUCUGUUACUGACUAUUCGGAGACUCUCCUGUCUGCUUGUCUGUGAGUUUCAUUCAGUUACUUACUUCUAGCCUCUGAUCAAGUAUCUUCUCCAUUCUCUUGUUCGCACAGAGCAUCUAGUUUAUUUACCUACUUUAUCGCUACUCAUAUAAUAAUUUGUAUAGUUCCAGUGACUAGUUUAGUACUAUUUAUCUCAAUACGGGCAGAAGAAGUCAACCUGCAACUGGAGACUUUCCCCUUACUGAUUCUUUUAGAUACCCUUACUUUUCAGGUACAAGUCAGAGGUGAGUAGCACGCGGGUCUUAACUUCAAGUUUCGGUCGGCUAGAGAGAAUCAGCUUGAUCGGGAGAAUAAACAGUUUCAAUAGCGAGAUCCUAGGCAGUGGCCGUAUCAAGUCCAGUUGAUAGAAAGGCUAAACCAGGACGUGGUUCUAACUGCUCCUGUGUUAAGGUAUUCUAUUCCAUUCAGAAGUCGAAGAGCUUGUCGACUUGUCCAUUAGUAGUAGCUUGUUCCUUAUAGCCCUUGAAUACUCUCAAGAUGGUGUGAAAGCAUAAUAAGGAUAAUCAGCAGUAUCAAGUCAGUCAGUAGUAACCGCUAAGGAAGCAGCAUAAUUAGAAUGCCCACGCCACUGAAGAGGAAUUAGCCAGCUAUUGAGAUAGAAUAGAUGACAAACCUGCGCUCUAAACUAGAAAUACAGAAUUGAAACCCUAAAGUCAUAAUUGAACUAAGUAGCCAUAGGAUAUGCUUUAGUGCUUGUGUUAAGCAAGUAGUCAAUAUAGAAUAGAGGACCAGUACAAGCAGCCAACAUAAGUAAGGGUUAGUUGUUAAUUGGCCCUAUCAAAUUCGAUCUUUAUUAUUAAGGAUGGUUCGAAUGCCAUGCCCCUUCCCUUAAGAAUUGAGUGAAAGUAUUGCCAGUUGCUCGAGUUAUAGAGGUAGUUUCAUCCCGAGUUUUCAUCAUAAAUAGCAUCAGUGGUGUGGGAUGAGAAUGGUACCCCUCUUUCUAACCAUGGGACCUAUCUUGCUACACCCUCUAUUUGGUUUUUUGCACUCUAAAGUUAUAACUCUUCCCUUCAUCUAAUCCGAUCUCCUGGUUGGUAUGGUCCCUUUCUUUAUAAGCUCUGGAAAUCCUUUAAUGAAUCCAUUGACUAUAUUCCUCGCCUAUCUUGCUGGUUCCUUAAUGAAUCCAUUGACUAUAUUCCUCGCCUAUCUUGCUGGUUCCUUUCUUUAUGGUUGCUAUCUCGUACCUUAUGUUUUAGUGCUAAAGCUUCCUACUGCCCUAUUUGUUUCCCCCUCUACUAGGCUAAUGAUUCUGCUUGAGUUUAUACUGUUUCCCUUGCCGAUUCCUCUUCUCUUGUAUUGCUCCACUUUCCUUCCCGCUUACCCUUACUUGGAAUCAUAAGCUGACUAUGCUAAUGCUGACUCAACAAGCAGGGGUCCAACUUCAUAAUGCGCGAUAAGUCAAUCAGUUUCAUCUUAUAUAGAAGCCUCAGCCGAAUGCCCAUCGAUACUUGUUUAAUAUCAUCUAGAUAAGAGCUUUGUAUAGAAAUCAAGUCACUGGACUGGACACUCCGCUCCAAAGCCACCCUACCUACCUGUAGACCAAGAUCAGAAGCCUAAGAUGGAUCAGUAGUUUCAACAGAAUCAUCAGCCCUUAAGUAAUUGGUUUAGGCAGUAGAUCCCCUUAAGAGUUUCAUCUUUGUUUGUUAGUGAAAAGAGUCCCGAGUUAACCUUUCUUUUAUGCCUGGGCUUCCCUUAUUAAGAACUAGUCCGUAUUUGGGUGUUCAUCGCCUUAGUCAAAAAAUUCCAUUCUAUUCUGAAGUAGUAGGCUUUACUCGGGGAUUCUUCAGUAGUAGCUUUUACUUGGGGAAUGUUUUCUACUUUCUUAUCCGCUAGAUCUAUCCCUAUUCUUCUCCAGACACUCACUCCUUUGCUAAGGUUAGCUUGUCUCUUUGACUACUUAGUUCAAUUCAUAGGUAGGGUUGCAUUAACACUUACUAUAAGAACUAUUGUCAAUUCACUCUUAUAAUAAUCACAGAUAGAGCGUAAUGUAGGGCAACCCCCUUUCCCUGCAGCUGAAGUCAAAGAAUUCACUGGCCUAGAUCCAUAAUGCCUAGCUCCAUCCUAUUAUUCUCUCCAUCCUAUUAUUCUAAAGUAAACUUUCCUGCGUAAUAUAAGUAAGGCACCCCGACCCGACCUCUAUACCUCUUGGCACAUAAGUGAGGAAUUGAAUGGAACCUAUGGAGCACCCGGCUAAUGAUCUUAGAACUGGAAGAAGCUUUUAACCGAUCUUAUAACUGAUAUGAUAUUCUUUCUUUCUUUAGAAUAUGAUGAAACUACGGGCCAAGCUACGAUACAUUAUAACUCGUUAUAACCAAAUCCUGUUUAAACCCAUAUUGUGUAAGUAGAGCGUCAAGAUGAGUUGUUUUCUGGUUUAUUUGUUCUUUCUAAUUUAUUGUUCGAUAGUUUUCUCCCAUCAUUCUUAUCACUUAGGGCUUACUAGCUACUAACUUAGGGCUUACUACUAACUACUAACUAGCUUCGGGCAAUCGGUGGUCUAGUAACUGACUUCAACAACUACCCGCCUCUACUUCUUUUGUUUUAGCAUAGCACCCGACCUCUAGUGUUAACGCCUAACUCUCCUCUGUCAAAAGCCAAUCUCUUCUCUCACAGACAAAGAAACUCCACUUUCCUUUUAUUGCUACCAAUACAAGGUAAAGAAUCCAAGUUUGUUAGCCAUAGGCAUAGGAGAGGAAGUAUUGUCAGAGGUAGCUACCGGUAGUUAAGGGCUUACUUUAUGCUAAGUUAAGGGCAAUAGAGUGCUUGAUGUCGGUCGUGGAGAAAAGUCAUUGUCCCGCUUACACACAACUCACAUCUUACUCUUAUUGGACUUGGUAUGGUACUAGAGAAAGACUCAUUUGAAGACAUAGGCUAAAUAGGGACUCCAAAGGAAGGCAGUUAUCAUGUCUGAAUCCGGACUUGGUAAUAACAUAGAUUGCUCUUCGGUCUUAGACAGCUCCUAAAGAGAUAGUCACUACCCCUCCGCUCUUAACCUAAUCAAUGUCGUAUAAGAAUUGGACUUGCUAGUUCUAAGAGAGAAAAGAUGAGAUGCCCAGCAAGAGCAAGAGAGAGAAGACCGGUAGGCAUGAGAACUGUAUUGCCAGGUCAAGUUCCGGAGCAUUAGAUUACAUAGCCCACCUCUCCUCGAAAGUAACUGAGGAUAUCCGUUGCCCACCUCGAAGACCCGCUUUCAGCUUACUUGAGAACAGAAACAUCAUUAAUGAGAACUGGAACAGGCAAUUCUCUUUGAACUCAAAACUCGGAAUUGACCUACCGUUUCUAAGACCUUUACUAAAAAGAAGGAAUCCAACAAAUAAGUGUGAGAAUGAAAACACCAACUAUUAGAAUCAAAAGCAAAGGCUCUAACUAGUGCUCCUUACUUAUGAUAAAGAAUCCCACGACUACUCACGGGGCUUACUGUCCUUUAUCUAACCCUCCCUCUACUCUUCUAUGCGUAUAACACAUGGGUUGGUGGACUACCAAUUUCGACUACUCUACAGUAAAUAAGAGAACAACUAGGGACUCGGAAUCAAAUAAGUAAGGAAAAGAAUAUAAGGACUCGGAAUCAAAUAAGUAAGGAAAAGAAUAUAACUACCAAGAGAAAGAUCCAGACCAACGCUAAAGAGAAUUGAGCUAUAAUAGCUAUCAGACUAAGACACUGCCCCAACAGACUAGAAACUUCAACUAGGGGAUCCAACUGGAGAUAACAAGGCUCGGAUCACUGCUAGCAGGACUGUAUGACCUACACACAUCAAUAAGACUUUACUGCCGCUCCUAACUACCAAACGGGCAUGGCAUCCCUUAAUCCAUUUAUGGCCUAUGAGUUCGGGCCUACCUCUCUUCCUCGCAAACAGGCACUCCCUUCUUGCAUUCCUUAUUGCCUGCCUCGCCUUUAGUUAAGUCUACCUUUCCUUUCUUCCAUUCUCGAUUUCCGGAUUGAUUCCAAGCCAGCAGCUGACGCUGCCCUUGCUUUUGAGAGUGUAGUGCCGUAUUUAUGUAAGUAGCGUGUCAUGUAAUAGUAAGUAGCAUGCCAUGUGUUUUAUUGGUUUCAUAUAAUAUAUAAUAGUAGCCCCUGUGUAUGGUACGUAACCUUGAUUGAUACAUUGAUUGAAACCCGCGUAUGGCACAACACACCCACGACUAUUGACUCUUAAGGGAUGUGUUCCGUAGGGGUAUGUUGUCGGUGUUCGAUAGAAGUUUAGAGGAAAGAAUAACUAGAAGAAUGGACUUUAGAUAGUAUUAAUAGAAGUGAAUAUGAUAAGCGAAAGAGUGUAGCGGCAGUCUACUUACACCAGUAGCUCUACUCUUAUUGGUAUUGAUUGGAUUCCUUGUUAGUAGAGGUGGUUUCCCAGUUUCUGACCUUUGAGUUGGUUUCCCAGCCGAGUGGGGGAAGUCCAAGUUUCGAGUUGGGUUCAUCUGUAAUCGAAUAAUGAAUGAAUAUAUUAUAUCAUAAUAGAGUCCAAAGCUCAGCUCAGUAAUAGAAUCAUUGGUGGCAGGGUCAAGUCAAAUACUGAUAGAUGCGAGAUCCGUGGCUAGAGGACCCGAUGCAGUGUUUAAAGAAAGAGAGGAGGCCUGUGGUGUGAAAGAGGUUGUUGGGUUGAAAGCGAGGGAAGGGACCAAGCAACGGGCCAAUCAACUACUACAAAGGCACAGAGGGGGACAAGCCAGCCGAUCCUUAUUUCUUCGUAGGCGAGCGGGAGAGUUAGUGACCUAUUCUAUAUCAAGGGUUAGUUACCUAUUGCUCUUAACCAACCAGUGCUUCUUAGACUCCCUAUAGAAGUUAUCAGAGAGAAAGGAUUUUCAAGCAAGGGUAAACUGCGGCAUACAAUCAGUUCAGUUCACCAGUUUACAGGGGUUUGGUAAAAAAUAAGAGAAAUUGACCUACUUCUCGCCACCCCACCUGAGGAGUAUAAUUGAGAGUUAUAGGCUUUAAACACCUGAUUGGGAGUGACUUGUAUAGUAGUGUCUUGCCUAGUCUUGAUCCAACAAGCAGCCAAGCCGACAAUGAGUAAAUAUAGGUUGACAGCCCCAACUAGACUACCGGUACCUACCAUAUCUUAUAUUUGGAGUACCUAUGGAAUUCUAUCCCUAGUAGUUAUCGGGCCAAGGAACUACUUCAAAGCCAAAGAAAGAGACUACACUUAUUCUCUUGCCCACCUCUCGGAGAGGAGAGGAGCCUAACUUACUAGCCUUCGCAUUCAACAUUCCAUUCUUUAUACGAUGACUUUCAAUCCUACUCCACGAGACCAACCACUUUGAGCGUAGAGCGUACGCGGCACAUUGCCGACCAGAGAAGUCAGGAAUACGAGUAGAUUCCACCUACCUAUGUUCUUUGGUUACCAUAUUCGAUAUGUGUGUCAGUCAGUUCAAAUAUAUGACUUUUCUUUCGCCCAAUAGCAUUAGCGAGUUUACUUGCACUCUCUGAAACAAGCUUUAGGCGCUAAGGGAUAGCCUAUCAACUCUAUGACUACACUCGAACUAGGCGAACAAAAAGACAAGAAGGGCAAAAGAGGAUAUUCGGUUUCUGGAACUCUCCUUGAAGUGAAGAAAAAGAAUAGAUAUCUUAGAGCAUAUAUCUAAUUUAGGAAUGAAUGUCAUCCAGCAGAAACUCCGUAAGCUUAAGUAGUUCGCUAACGGGAGCUAAAGAAGGCAAGGCCAACACUCGCAUCGCAAACGGAAAUGGAAUAUCUCUCUUAUUGAGCACAUGGGGUAUAGUAUCGAUUUUUGUAACAAGAGAGUACACUCCAUAGCCCUUACUUUCUCCGGAGUCUUAGACAUUUUUGCCUAUAAUCUUGAGACCCUCUUAACAUCUUAAAUACAUAUUGACCCUCUUGCUCUGUAACUCCGGACUUAUGUAUUUCAUUAGAACUCCUUUAACUCCGUACUUUGGGGUGGAAUUCUGAUAAUACUGUUAUGGCUCUGGACUACUUAUACCACUAGUUGGGGCAAGAACUAUACUGGAAUAGCUUCCCUUUAUGAGCAAGUCCUUGCUAGCGCAUCUAGUAUAUCUUAAUUCUUCUAUCGAGCUGGUACGAUCUAGCAUGCAUAGCUCCAGCCCCGGAUUCUCACCUUAUCGAGUCGACUUCAAUGGAAUUGCAUUCUGAGUUUAGGGUUGACUUCACUUAGUUGCCUUAACUCUCUAACACUUCUUUCUUGCUAAAGUCUCUAAGGUAGGAAUAUGACCCUUUGUUUCUAUAUGGAUGAUAUUCCUAUUGAUAAAAGAAGAGUUCUCGGGCAAGAAGAGAAUCAAGUACUGGUGAGGAGUAGAGAUCAUACGAGUAUAUUUCUGUUCUUGCGGGAAAGGAAGCCGAAUCAAAGUUCUCUUGCCCACUACGCGGAUUAAGGUUAGCUAAGCAAACUACUAAUAAACUAUCAGAAUUAUGCUAAGCAAACUACUCGUGGAAUUAUUAGAAUCUAAUAACAUGCUACUAUUACAUGACAUGCUACUUACUAUUACCAUUAUUAUUAUUAUUAUAGAAUAGAUAGAUAAGUAACCGUAUUAUUCUAUUAAGAGAAUAGCACUGCACUAAUGAACCCAGCCACUGUCUAAUAGGCUUACUGCCCUUACUUACAUUAUCAAUAAAAGAAUCAAGAGUUUACACAAUAACUAGUUCUCUCGGGUAGGCAGGGAGAAUGCCACUGGGGUGCUUUCUAAUUCUAAUACUGAACUAACUAAUACUGAACUAACUGCUAGCAAAGAACUAGCACCAAACUAUACAAAACCCACUCGGAUUCUUUAAGCACUGAUACGGAUCUUUGCUUCACUAGCUCCAAAGCCCCUACUACUGAUUUGGAUCCUUCCUCUCAAACCUAUAACCCUAGCUCUUACUGGCCAAACCAACUAGAAGUCUCCCAUUACUUUAUCUUAGCUUGACACCGCUUACGGCUGUUUAAACUGAAGCUGCUGAUAAACAGACUCGAACUACUAAUCAAAGAACUAACUAAACUAGGAACUAGGGGGGCUACCCAUACUUGAACUCAGUGCACCGGAGAACAAGAAUCAAGCUAGCCACUAUCAGAAUUUCACCAAGCAGUAUAAAAGAAUGCAAUUCAUAAGUAAAAGACCAACUAAAAGACCUCAACAAGUACUAGCUUUGAAACAAGGUAAAGAGGAGAUGGGUCCUUUUCUUAAUAGUGCUUGGAUUACCACCUUAUAGUCGAGUUCUUUGCUUUCCCGAGCAGUGCUUGCUUGGCUUUUUACCUUAGUUGUGUCGUGGAGAGAGAAUCGAUGCAGUGCGCUUGAUUGACUAGCGGCCCUGCCGUUCCUAUAGCUCGCUACCGCGCCUAACGAGGCUUGGUCAUUAGUAGUGUCUUGGCGGGUAGGGGCGGAUAAUCUACUUGAGUUCGAGUUUCCUCUAGGUUGCGAGUAAAUGUUAUCUUAUCGAAAUAGAAAUAUUUGAGAUAUAGAAUUUCUAUUGGAUAUUGGGGAGCAGCUGCUCCUAGGCUAGGCGAUUAUAAGAUUAGUUUCGAGUUUAUGCUUUCAUUUCGAAAUUGAACUCUAAGUUAAUAAAAAGAAGAAUGGGCUCCGUAUGAUAUAAGUCAGUAACCAAAUGAGAUAAGUAAGUAACCAAGGAUAGGAGAUAGGUAUAAAAGUUCCUGUUCUAGGAUCAGAAGUUGCAAGCGGCGGGGCGCCCAGAAGAAUCAUCCUUAGUUCUCAAGUCAGCAGCCCACGAUUCUGCAAAUGAAGGAGAGGUUGGCCAAAGGGAACAAGUGCUUGUUAGUUAAGUCGACAUCAACAAUAGAAGAAAUAGUCGAAAGGAACUCAGCAGCAAUGAGGUGUGGAUCUCGAUGAUAAUAAGAAUCAAAGGAUUGCGCUAGGUACGAUAUAAAGAAGUAACCGACCAUGUGCUCUUAACUCCCAAGCCAAAUCUGAAUUCCACAAAUGAGUACAAAAAUGUACCUACAUCUUGUCAACCCAGAGUACUAGUAUAAUCUUAACAAAGCUAAGUAGAAAUAUGAUCUGAUAUAAGAAAAAACAAAUUCAGAGUGGAACUUGGCAUAGAAACUCGUAAAGACACUGAACGCACAAGGACACGCACUUCUGGACCAAUACUGGAAUCUGUAACUGGCAAUUCAUAAGCUUCAUAUGCUCCUGCUUCUUAUUCAGCUUCGUAUAAAUAUAUCUUAAUUGUAUUUUCAUACCAUAUAGGUUCUAUUACUAACUCACUAACCAUACUAUUACUAACCAUAUAGAUUCUAUUACUAUUAAGUAACUAUAUAAGUAAUAUAGAGUGGAGUAAUGAUUAGGAGAAAAUGAUAUAAGUAAUAUAGAGUGGAGUAACGACUAGAGGAGAAAAUGCAAAGUGUCAGUGGAAGUUGGAAAGCAAGUAAUGGAAGCUGACAAGCAAGGCUUAGAGUCCAGGGAGGCAGACUAACAGGGUAAAUAAAGGAUUUCAAGGUGUGGGUCGGUGCUAUAGUUUCUAGUUCAAUUCCAUCUUGUUGGCUCGGAGGGGCAUACUGGAACGAGAGCCAGGGUAGGUAGGGAGCAAAACGAAGAAGUAUCUGAUCACCCAUCAAAGAGAAGAAUGCCAGGAACGCGAAUCUAAGAGGAAUGCCGGGUACAAAUACAGAUGUGAGGUCGCGAGGGGCAAGGUUAAGAGUUCGCAGUGACAUACUAAGAAUAGAGUAGUGGAUCUAUCCGGUAAUAGAGUAGUAGAUCCAUCCGGGUAGUGAGUCACAUUUCACCCAGUAUAGUAUCCAUUCUGAUUAGUCGUAGUGUGAUUACUCGUUUCUAGAUUCAUUCUGUUAGUAGUAUAAUGGUAGUAUAGUUGGAUGCGCCCUACAUCGUACUUAUUCCUAUGCCAGAGGAUUCUAUUCUUAUAGUUAGAGUAGUUAAGGAAUACAAGUAAGUAAAGACAGACUGAUAGAUUCGAAGGGCAGGCUAACAGGUGAUAGGAUAGGAUCUAUCGGUAGUUAAGGAGUCCGGUAAAAUUGAUAGGUUCAAAUCAUAAUCAAGGGCGGCCCUAAAGAGUGGGUACUAGGUUCCGUUACGUACUAGGUUCAAGUCGAGUAAGUGGAUCGUUGGUUAAAGGAUAGCAGUAAAUCAGAGCAGAUUAAUCGUUUUUAGUAGCUUGGUGACUUCGCUAGAACAUAUAAGAAUCAAAGUCAGCAGCUAAAGAAUAGAGGCUCAGAGUGAGAGUUGGUAGUGAAAGCCCGAGAAGAGAGAUACACGGAAUGAAAGGCAUGAGCCUCAGCUUGUAAGUGAUACGUAAAUACGGGAGGUGAAGUUUACCUUGGAGACUUGAUCUUAGAGACAGGAACUACAGACUCAGGGCGAGUGUAAUAGAAGAAUCUCGGGUGAGCUGAAGAAUGAGAGCAAGGGCAGCAAAGCAGCUGGCUAGAAAGCAUAGUUUCAGGAUGAAAACAAGUCACGUAAGCCUGAGUUAUCGUAUGAAUACUUGUCGAAGCGAGUUGGUGCGCUCUUUCUGUAAACAGCAGCUCUCGCUCUUCACUUCAGCAGAAGCUAAUCCCGAGGGUCUGUGGGAAAUAGGCUUUGAUUGUGGAAUUCGGCCAGUAAGCAUGAUGAGUCAACAGUUCGGCACUACCCUUUCUUGCGGAGGCCCUAUACUAAUAACUUGGCUUGCAGGACAAAGGCAGCUACACCGGCGUUAGCGAGCUUGGCUUUCCUUCCCUUUCCUUUUGCUACCCGAUCGCUCUUUUGACUUUGGCUCUUUAUCUGUAUACUAUUUAUUAUACACAUCCCCGUUUCUAAUCCAUAAUAAAGAGAUGAGUUAGGAUUCACUAAAUAAUAAUAAAGAGAUGAGUUAGGAUUCACUAAAUAAAGGACAAAAAGAAUCAAUGGGCCACCCACAGGAGAACCAACCCUUUCUCGUAUCUGGCACUAAUCCUUUUUGCACUUAGAAUUGGAAUGGAAUAACUAAUAGAUUGAGCAGCAGCUCGUAGAGACCACCUUCCUUAUAAAGAAAUCAAUAAAGAACAUAUCUCUCUUAUCUUGAAAUAAAGAACAUAUUGAUCUUAUCCUAUAUCUUGAAAUAAAGAACAUAUUAAUCUUAUCUUAUAUAUAUAUGUGUAUGUUUCUAUCCAUAUCCUGACAUAAGAAGCCCAAUAGGAGCAAGCAAUACUGGAAAGGGCGAUCCGAAAGACCUAUACGGAGAUCGGCUAAAACGCCCCAAAGGCAUUACAAAAAGCACUUAGUAGAAUGGAUAUGCCCACUAUAGACAAUACUAAACAAACUCUCAUUUCUUCUAGACGGUAUAAGGUCCUCUUUUCUUUCAAAGUGUCUUCUAUCUGCUAGAGCUUGAAUCAUUCCCAAGGUUUUGCCAAUACGUUGUUGUAUCGCUGCAGAUAUUUCUCUUUCUAACCACACAAUGAAAAGUACUUCCUCCUAUUGUAAUUCCGUGGUACAAAGAUCUAUAGGAGUCCAUAUACUAAUAUAUAACUAAGGAUUCCGAUGUCUCAAAAGAAAUGGUCGUUUUUACUUCGAAUCGAAUUAGGCAUUAAUUUCUGAUCUAUUACGCUUCACUUCUAAAUGAUCAUAGGGUCUGUCUCCUCCAGUAAAGCCUUUCUAGAGCCUGUGGAAUAAGAGCAACAAUAUGGAUUUCUUCAUUUCACCGAUAUUCGUACCAAAUAAUGAGCUAAGGCUUUCAGCUCCUUCCUUUUGCCAUUGUACUUUCCCAAUCUCAUUCAUUGUCAAACUCAACAUUAUCAAUGGAAGGCGCAAUGAUAGGUAAGCAGUCUACGAAGCAAAGCCCCUUGCAUUACAGAAAUAGUUAUGAACUGACUCCAUUCCCUUAGUCUCCCGCCAAGCUAGCUAAUCUAAUAGUUUCUAGUUCCAUUCCUUCUUCUUAACUUUAACCAACACUUAAUUCAGAACGAAGGCCACCAUCCUUCUUAUUCUUUAUUGAUUUCUUUCUCGAGUGGAUUUCUGGGUGCUAAGGCCCUGGAAAGGGGAGAGUAGCUGAGUGGUCAAAAGCGACAGACUGUAAAUCUGUUGAAGGUUUUCUACGUAGGUUCGAAUCCUGCCUCUCCCACUUAUUGUUGUUGUAGACUCAAGAUAAGAUCAAGUAGGCGUCAGCGUAGGCCGAGCGAAGCUCUUUCUCUUUAGUAAGAUAGACUAAUUGCAAUUGUAUCGUAUGCUAGUUAGAGAGGUUGGCGAACAACUACGAUCGUUAGAUAUUCCCAUUAUCAGCUAUAUCCAAUCCCAACUAGAAUAGAAGCUAGGCGUAGGCUUUACGUCUGUCGGCACACGCAUGCACCCUUAAUAAUGCCUCCUUGGUUCGGGACAAAGCCCAGCGAUACCCUUACCCAGCAGCCAGCAGCCAGCAGCUGACGCUGACCUUACUUUUCCGUUUCAAACUCCUCGAAGCUUCUUAGCCCUCGGAAGCAAUGCUCUGUUUUUCAUAGAUUCUCCACUUUAGAUUAACGCUUCUAUACUCGAUCUUAACGCUAUAUUCUUUAAGCAUCUUAACGCUAUAUUCUUUAAGCAAUGCAAGUAUGAUCGAGGAUUGGACUUUAAGCAAUGCAAGUAUGAUCGAGGAUUGGAGAGGGAUAGGUGGAUUCAAAAGCUCAGGAUGGAAUGGAAUUCAGAGUCUUUGUGCGAGCCGUAUGCGGUGAGAGUCGCACGUACGGUUACGAGGGGGGUUAGCGUCUAUACUAUAAGUUUCUCAAACCCACCCUAUUUGUUCCAUGAUCUAUGGGUCUACUGGAGCUACCCACUUCGAUCAAUUAGCCAAGAUUUUCACCGGAUACGAAAUAACUGGUGCUCAAUCUAGUGGUAUUUUUCUUGGGAUUCUCUUUAUCGCAGUAGGAUCCCUAUUCAAGAUCACUGCAGUUCCUCUUCGGGCGGCUGUAGGACGGACGGCCCCCUAUAGGUAUACGCGUAGGAUGGGUGGUACCGCUCAUAUUGUGGCUAAUCCUCCUAACUGCACGCUAGAGCGCGUGAAACUAAUCACUACCUCGUAAGAGCGUUGAGACCAUAGCAUGUUACACAAAAGCUAGCUUUCUCCGUAGUGUUGUCACACAGCUGCCCGACUAGAAGAGCCACUCGCUCAGUAGUGUUGUCACACAAGAUAAGCAUGCCUUAGCCAGCAGGCCGGGCGAAUCUAAGUUCUCUUCCGGUCAACUGUCCACCCAGUCAAGUGCAAAAAACACAGUGGAAUCACGCAACGCACGUAGCUGGUGUGCUUCCUGCCCACGAGGAAAGAAGAGCGACAAGGAUAAGAUUUCACUGUUUGCAGCAUGGGAGCUGAUUACCCAAAUAAUCCCUGGGAAAAAAGAAAAGAUAUCUCGGUAACGAAAACCAUAGGAGGCUGUAUUAGCGAGAUCCAACGGUGAACUGCUGCCCAAAAGAAAACCGCCUGGAAGUCCGAGGACCUUUAGUACCUUACCCUAAACCUGAACCAGCAGCCUUCGCGCCAAGCAACGACCGCCCUUGUCCCCUUUGCUUUUUCCAUUCCGCCUACUUCCUAGCUUUGUUCAGUCAGUCUAAGGCUUUGCUUCAGUGGUUCGCUUACCCACUUUAUUUAGAAAGGGAACGAACUUCACUUAAUUAUAGGAUUUCGAAAGGGAACUCACUUCAUUAUAGGGUUUCAUAGGAUUUCGAAAGGGAACUCACUUCAUUAUAGGGUUUCUGGAUUUGCUUUCCAACCCAUAGAAUUCCUUAAUUUCAUGUAGUUAUUAGCUUUCCGUUUUUCUUUGAUGCUUACGGUUGCUCCUAUACUUAGAGGGCUCAUUUUCUUUUCCGCGGGCUCUUCUUUGAAGCUAUAGUUUGCUAGCAGGGUAUGCUCUUUAGAGUUUCUGGCGCACUAACGCUUUUAUGCCUCAAGAUGCUUACGUUAGCUGGGACCGCAUUCAAUAAUAAUGAAUAGUGGGGAAUUCCAAGAAUAUCCAAUUUUCACAAAGAGGUAUUUUACGAAGAUCUUUCUAUCAAUAGAUAGGAAUGAGUGUUCAGGGGAUAGGAUCCAUCUGCUCUCUCUCUAUUUGAUUUGAGUUUCAAUCCAUCUGCUCUCUCUCUAUUUGAUUUGAGUUUCCAUUUCUGGAUCAAUAACUAUCCAAAAUAAUAAGAUAGGUAGAUUCUUACUAUCCAAAAUAAUAAGAUAGGUAGAUUCUGAAAUAAUGGAUACAUAGAAAUCCAAAGGGAUGUCCAUGUUAUUCCUAUUCAUUGAAAACGCAGAAGGCCGAGCGAGGUGCUGAAAGCCUUCGGGCUUUGCCUUCCCUUUUUCUAAUGCCUUACUUCUUUUGCCCUAUUUGAGAAUGAAUGCCUUCUUUUCUUUUGCUUGCCCUAUUUUAGAAUAAGGAAUUUCGGCUCGGGAAAGCGCUGGCAACAACAUCAAGGAAGGGGUCUAUGUAGCUGCCCGCCUACAGAGCAGCAGGUUCGGCAUCUACUACAAAUGAUAUAAUCCACUUAUUCUAACAACGUCUGUGCUAGGCAGCGUGUGGAAUGGAACUUAUUAACAGGCCUUUUGGAUAUAUAAUCCAAGCCGAUAGUGGAGUUACGUGAACAGCCGUCUGAUGGAAAACCACUUUCAUGUUCGGUUCAUAGAGCACUUUUCUCGUUGAGAAUUCCUCGUUCUCUUUUGUGUGAAUUCCCCAGCUAGAAUUAACCACUUUUGGGGCCGCCCCGAAGAAAACCUCCCUCUCUCUCUCUCGCUCGGACUCAAUCUCUCUUUUGACUCAAUAUAUGUGGGCACCCGAUAUCUAUGAGGGUUCACCCACCCCGGUUACAGCAUUCCUUUCUCUUGCGCCUAAAAUCUCUAUUUCUGCAAAUAUGUCACGUGUUUCUAUGGUUGGUUCCUAUGGAGGUACAUUGCAACAAAUCUUCUUUUUCUGCAGCAUUGCUUCUAUGAUCUUAGGAGCAGUGGCCGCCAUGGCCCAAACGAAAGUCAAAAGACCUCUAGCUCAUAGUUCGAUUGGACAUGUAGGUUAUAUUCGUACUGGUUUCUCAUGUGGAACCAUAGAAGGAAUUCAAGCACUACUUAUAUAUAUUUGGAUUUAUGCAUCAAUGACGAUGGAUGCAUUCGCCAUAGUUCCAGCAUUACGGCAAACCCGUGUCAAAUAUAUCUCUGAAUUAGGCGUUCUAGCCAAAACCAAUCCUAUUUCGGCUAUUACCUUCUCCAUUACAAUGUUCUCAUACGCAGGAAUACCCCCGUUAGCCGGCUUUUGUAGCAAAUUCUAUAUGUUCUUCGCCGCUUUGGGUUGUGGGGCUUACUUCCUAGCCCUAGUUGGAGUAGUUACUAGCGUUAUAGGUCGUUGGGCGGCCGGAAGGUUGCCAUGAGUCAGGUUUGGGAAGGCAGUAUUCCGUGCACUGGACACGUAGCUUACCGAAUCAGUUGCGACACGGAUUGGAAUGCAUACUACGAAAUCAAGGGUAGAGUCUUAUACAUAAACCGUCGACUCCAUAUCCUUGUACGAGUCCACAAUCACUACACGAGAUGAACCUGGGUUUGGUGAAUAUAAGUUUGCCUUAGGUCUAAUAGGACUCCCAGUUACAGCGCGCUAUCGUAUACUGAGGUGCUCCCCAUCGGUAGUUGGAACGACGCGGGCCUUGAUUCAAUUCAUCAAGAUUCAGGGACAGAGGAUUUCAGCACCUUAUCAUUUUGGGCAGAAAACGAAUCGACAUCUCCUUGUGAUAAAGCCCUUUCAAUUGAAGUUGGGAAAGAACGGCGAAGUCCAUCCGAAAAACAAACCCCCAAUGAAUAAAUCAGAGGAGAGCCAAGUUUCAAUGGCGCGCGAACGAAGCGCAUGCAGAACGGGCACGGAUAGAGAAAUACAUAAGUGUGGUGGAAGAGACCGAGCUCAUUCCUUUCACUUACUGGGCUGGGCGCAGUGCUUUGUUUCCUGGCAAAAUCAAGGAUUUGGGGCUUAUUCCAAAAUCAAUAGUCUUAGAAAGAGAAGAUGGAUCCCAGAGUCUUAGAAAGAUAAGAUGGAUUAAAGGCAUCGAUUUCUUGUUUCUACUUAUAUCUAAUAAAGGCAUCGAUUUCUUGUUUCUACUUAUAUGUUUCUACUUAUAUCUAAUAAAGGCAUCGAUUUCUUGUUCGCCCCCCCGCUUCAGAAACGGCUCCGCAGCAAUGGAUGGCAGAGGGUCCGUAGUACCCGAAGCACUGGAGUUAUACAGUAACCGGGAAGGGACCUAGAAGUGCCUACAACUUACUACUCAACUUGGCUCCACACAUUUACAGAGCUAACCCCUGUCCAGUGUCUGGCAGAACGUUUGGGGCUUCAAUCCGGACUCCUUAUCCCCUCUCGGCUAACAGAGCCUUACUUAUUCAGGGGAGAGAGUAUAGCCUCGAGAAGCACUCUGGAGAGGAAGAUCCUUUGGCCACUCUUCAUUCUCUACUUUUCUCUCUGCCUACAUGGAAGCGGGGCAGUGAUGGAAAAGAUCAAACACGGGUAUUUCUUUCGGGCUUUAGCAUACCAUAAGAUCAUACACAUUUCUCAUUCCGCUGACUUUCUUUUUCGUCUCCACAAACUCAGAGAAAGAAUCAUCUUCUUCAACUUACUAUACCUAACCCCUUCCUAGAGCCGUGUAUUGUAAGUGAUCCGAACCUGUCCCUUCCUAGAGCCGUGUAUUGUAAGUGAUCCGAACCUGCCCGGAGUGAGCCCCCAAACAAUAGGCAAGUUCCGUUGGUGAGCCGUAUGAUGGGCAACUAUCUCCUGCGGUUCGGAGAGGACUCAGCUCUUAGUUAGUACCCGCUUAGUUUCGGGUUAGAUCUUUUCACUCUAUUUAAUUAUAUAAGAAUAGCGAAAAGAAUGUUUUUUGAUAGACCUAGGACAUGGAUUCUAUUUAAACCUAUGGAUCGUGACAAGUCGUUACUACUAGCAAUGACUUCCUCUUUCAUUACUUCAUCCUUUCCAUAUCCCUCUCCCUUGUUCGAUCUUACUCAUCAAAUGGCACUCAGUUCAUAUCUUUAAGUUCGAUCAUUAACAAACAAGGUUCAAAGAAAGGGUGGGACAUUAACAAUGAAGGAUCCAACACUUUGGAGAUAGGCUAGAAUUUACCACGCCCAACUAACUACAGCAGAAAAGAAUAAGCUAACAAGAAUAAGCUAACAAGCAACGGAAUUGAACCAAGACUUAAUAAGAAUUUGACUCAUAACCGGGAAUUGAGCUAGCGACCUCAAAGCUGUCUUUCUUUACAUAAGUUUUACUUCACUUACUAUUAAACUGGAGCUAAUGCCAACAAGAGAAGAGUCAAAACCGAGCAUGGGAAUCAAACCCAGUGAUAACAAGAAUAACCCAGUGCUAAGUGCUAACAGGACUGUAGCUCGAACCCGGGAAUGAAACCAGUGCUAUGAUAACUCAACUACUCAUAAAAAGCACUCUUCUAGGAAGAACAGGGAAUCAAACUAAUAAGUAAGAGAACGCAUCCACUAUCGAGAAGGCUGAAGAAACCAACUCCAUACAAGAAAGCACUAAUACCGAUAAGCUUGGCACUGCUUUCUGUCAUCCCCGCUACCUAACCAACUUGCUAAGCCCUACUCUGUGGGUUCACCCGUAGCGCUCCGAACUUGAGUCUUAGGCUAUUGACUUGCAUUCUGUAGUUCCCUUAUUGGUCUUAUUCCCUGGGGGACCUAAUCUUACUUGAAAGCUUCCCUCCUCGCUUAGAGUCUUACUGCCCUGUCUCCAACUCUGAAACUACGAGAUACGAGACUAUCACUACCAAUCCGGAUCCUUACUCUCUUUUUCGCUCAAUCAGCCUUUCCCGUCUUAGAGCACAUAUCUCCUGUUUGAGAAUAAGCUGCUGGUGCAAGUGCUUCUGCGCCUCUUGUCAUUAGUAGUGCUCAAGUAUUGUGUUGAGGUAAGAGGUCAGAUCAGGCAAUUCUCUAUUAUGGCCCAUAACUCGUAGUGGCUUGGUUAGUAUAUAUAUACUUUAGGGUUAUACUACUUUAUUAUGUGUUAGUUGCCGGAGUUAGUGGUGAGUGCCUUAGAUGUAUCGGAGUUGCUUGCCCCCUACUUUAGAGGUUAAUUCCCACUAUCGAGAGAAGGAAAUGAAAACGGAAACUCGUGUUAGUGCUCGCCCCCAGUUUCUAACUUUCAUCUAUACCAGACUUCUUUGAAACUACUUGAUGCAGCUUCACCUUUCACUACUCGUCCUGUUUCCUCCCUCUCGUCAACACCCGUAAUUGAACUUGAAUAUAGUCAUCAAUUCUUUCAGUUGACUUUAAAUAGUGAUCGGAAAGGGACUCUCGAUCUGGUGUGAAAGCCUGAAACUCUGUUGCUACUAUCUGUUGCAACUAUAAUAAGAGUAGUGAACCAGCGGUGCCAGACAAACAAAGGACUUGGGAAUAACUCGAGUAGUCCUGUUCGAGUUGAAUCCUAAGUGAAAGAGAGAAAGUGAAAGAGAUAGGAGCCGAAUGCAGGUAGUCAAGAUGAACUCCAGUCCUUGAACUUCCUUAAGUAGUGAUUUGGUCUGUUGUUUGUUGGAAUUGAUUCUCUCGCUGUGUAGUAGGAGUUUGAGAAGUAGAAAGUCAAGUCUAUCGUCCUGGUGGCCCUACUCGAACUACAGUUGUUGCUUGAGAAGUGGAAAGUAGAAGAGAAGUGGAAAGUCGAAAAGGUGACCCUGGGUUAACUCCUCUUAUGGCCCUAUCUUGCCGCACUUACCUGAUGAUGCAUGAAGCCAGCCUAAUCACAGUGUUUGACCUCUUUCUAGGUGCACUAAAUUCAUAAGAAUAACAGUGUUUGACCUCUUUCUAGAUGCACACUAAAUGCAGCCUAAUAACAGUGAUCUCUUGCAAGGGGUGCACUAAAUACAUAAGAAUAAGACAGAGAGCGGGGUGAGUUAAGUGAGUUCAGCGGUUAAAGGGAACAAAACAAGCAACAUCAACUUAUUCAACGGAAGAAACAUCCUUUUUUGAUUGGAGUUUCGCAGUUAGGUUAGGUUCUACUAGUUCUAUUCGUUUUGUUUGCACUAAAUCAUCUUCCACAAGUUUAGAGAGCAAUAGAAGGAGCGAGACUUCACUAAGCUAUAAGAUACAGCGCUGAAGAGGAUAGGACAAGAGACGACUUGGACCACUCCCAGAGAUCAUAGUGCUUUUCUUUUGUUUGCUAAGUUUCACGCCGGUUAACUACCCGUCAUAGGGAAAUCACCAUUCAGUGGACCGCUGUUAUGUUAUAAGUAGUUUGAUUGCUGUUUCAUCGGUUUCUUGCUUGACAAAUAUCAAAUAAGAAAUAGAAUGGAAUGAACACACAUCUAAUAUAAGAGAAAGUAACGCGCAUCCCGACAAUGCUUGAGCACAGUUUCCAAUCAAGUAUAAAGCAGAGGGUAUCUCGUCACAUUGACAGAAAGGAGUUGAGUAUGUUGUGUGUAUUGUAGUAAUGUCAUUCUUUAUUGCGUUAGUUAGCUAUGUGAGAUAACGUAUAGGAAAGUGCUUCGCUUUACCGAGUAGUAGGUCAAGGUUCAGUGAGGGUGUAGCUCAAAGUAACAGAACAAGAAAACAUACAAGUGGAACAAGCAGCGGCGAAUGAACAAGUAAACAAAGCCUCAGUUCUAUGUCAACAACCAACCCCUGUGAGGCUAGGUAUAACAGAGCCAGCAGUAAGCAGUGAACAACCAACCCUUGUUUGCUUUGGUAGAUCGGAGCUAGCUGUCAGCAGUGUUUUCUUACUCCAUUACAUUUGUUGUGCACUCAAUGAUAUUCUUUUGCAACUUUGAUUCCUAUUGAUCAGAAGCAAGCAUCCAGCUGCGCCAGUAGAAACUAUGAUGCUACUUUAGUGUAGUGUUACUAUGCCUUAUAUCAUGUGCUACUUACAAAUAACUAUACUGUUACUUCACACCGGAUUCCUUACUGUUACUUCACACGGGCCUGGCCCUACUGCUCGAAAUCAAGUAGCAAGUCUUCAAGUAUCAAGUCCAAUCCCCAUUCCUUCUGCUCUAAGUCAUUCCUUCUUCGGAGUGUCGUAUGAAAGCAGUAACGCAGUGUUGUGACCCUCUUCUAUAAUGUGUCCCUAACCCUAAGAUUAGGAGUUCUCUUACUAUGCUUCUAUAAUGGGUGUCUCAGAUAAUCAAUGAAUGGUUUACUUCAAACUUAAGCAAACUCCGCCUUGUGUUUAAUUCGCUAUCAGAGUGAAGUGAAGUCUUGUAGUUAGCCUGUCCUGAAUGCGAUACAAUAGAAGUCUUGAGUGGAGUCUCGCCUGUCAGGAAUGCGAUAGCAGUAUCUGGUUUCGUAGCCUGUAACGUUGAAAGAAACAAUAAUCAAUAAGUUUGCUUGUUUGCUUGUUUACCGUUGAGGCUCCUAACGCUAUACUUGAUUAUACUAAGCUUGUUUGUUACGAGAACUAGAGCUAAGCUUGUUUGUUACGAGAACUAGAGCAGCGCAGAGUCAAAGUGGAAUUCUAACUCCAAGGCAAUUGAUGAACCAAUCCAAUGAAUCUACUCUAUACUAUAUUCUAAGGAUUAGAUGGUAGAAUCGGGAAGCAUUAAGCACUAAUACUAGAGAGACACACCUUUUAUCGGAAAAUUCUAUAGCAAAGGGUUUCAACUGGCCUAAUUAGCAAGAUUCGCUGAGAAUGAAAGGGUUCGGAUGGGAUUUCGAUCAGAGGUCUUUUGGCGAAACUGGGCUCAGUAACCUUUUCUAUCCUUCCAUUUCUAAGAGAGUAUUAGCCAUAGAAGGAUAAAGGGCUUGCAAAGCUCCCGCUGUCAUUCCUAUGUCGGGUAUAGAAGGUUAAGAGGAAAACCAAAGGAAGGUGAUGAGCUCCGUUAGCGAGUUAUUAGGCGGAAAGUGGAGAGUUAGGUGACCGCUCCGUGUUCGCCUUUCUUUCCUAUAGCCUUAACCACAUAGUGGGCAAAACUCACCUCAGCAUUAGAAAAAGAGCUUAUUGAUAACGAAUGAUUAAGUCGCACCCCAAGUAUACGAGUUCAGGUCAAUAAGUGGAGUUUCUAGAACAAUCAAAGGAUGUAGUGAGCUUUGGAACAGAAUAAGCAAGGGAACAAACAACGGAACAAGCUUUGGGCAAGAAAAGAAAGAGUACUAAACUAUAGUAUUGUAUAAGGGUCGGGUAGUUAUUGUAUAGUAUUGUAUAGUAUAGGGUGGUUCGUCUGCCUCUAAAUCCUAUUUUCUUCAAGGAACAGCGAAAACAAACUAGUCACAAGACAAGCCCUAUUGCGCUAACUCAUUGGAGCGGGUACGUUAGUAAGAGAGUUUGUGCCAGCAGUCAUAGGUGUCAUGUCCCUUUUUGCCAUCAUGCAUGUUUUACUUAUAUUCUUAAAGCCGUAGCACGUUAGCAAGUUCGGAAGCAAAGCAGUGUUGUUUACCAACUCUCAUAUAUUCAGUAUUCAGCAACAACCAUUCACUUACAUUCAGCAAGCUCCAUUCAGCAACAACCAUUCACUUACAUUCACUUACAUUCAGCAAGCUCCAACAAGCAAAGCAACAGAACAAGUAAACAAGUGCUUAGGUGAGUUAGCCUAAGUGCGUAAGCUUCCCUACUAUGAGUUUCCCGACAAGGAUAGGCGUUUUAGGGUUGACUGAACCAAGCAGGGGAACAAUAAAGGGCCAAAGCUUAGGGACAAGCAACUACUAAUGUUGCGCGGCAGCAAGUAAUAGUCAUAACAAAGUUAUUACGAUAGAUGUUUUCAACGGCAAAAGCAAGGGGUUCGUUUUCAAGCAAUGCAGUGUGUUCUUACCCAAUUCAUUCUAAAGGAAGCAGUAAUCUAAUGUGUCAUAGUGGAGGUUAGGUUAUCUUAAUCAAUAAUAGAAAAAUAGGUGCCUGAAAUGAAUAAUAACCCUGACCUGAGAAAAAGCUUUAGGCUAUGGGUAAGUAGUAGAGAGUUAAAGAAGCCAACAAGCGAGUUAACAAGUGAGCCCUGCCAAUAGCGGAAUUAGGGUAAUUGUAGUGCGAUAGCGAUAAACAGUAUAAUAUGCAAGCAGUGAGUUUAGUUGACUUCUUUUUCUGAGGUAAGUUGACUUCUUUUUCAUAUAAUAGGUGCAUUCUUUUCUUUUCAAUAGGGAUAGCGGCGCACAAAUCACAUGUGUAUAUAGAAAGGUUCACUUACGCACAACUCAAGUAAGCAUCCCGAAACCGAGAGUAACCCUUUGCACUAUUCAUCGUCAGGACUCAACUCGAGAUUCAACUCACACUGAAAGAUACUCAUCGCCCUUUCUUUGAAACUUCCUCUGAUCCAGAUCUUUCAACUGCUUUUGAUCCAGCUAAUGCUGAAGCCUCUGAUUCUAUAUAAUACAAUUCCAUAAAGUAAAGCACCAACCCUCUAUCCACUUAGUAGUAUUGCGAGCAGCUCACCGUUACGUUACUUGUUAGUCAGGACUGAACUGUCUUCCUUCACUCAACUCAACCACGAAUCCAUCUUUCUUGCGCUAAGAUCCGAAUCAUACCGUAGCUGGCAUUGUCUUCUGUAACUGCGGAAUCUAGAUCUCACUUGUCCCGGGCUAACUCUCCUGCAACUAACUAUUCGAAUCAAACUAUCACUUCUGAGACCUGAACCUGUGCUAAUCCCUUGCUACGAGAUAUCGAACCAAAGUAUGGAAUGCGGGGCUGGUAGAAUCAAACUACUAAUGGAAAGGAUGAAACAGGCAAAAAGCAGGCAAUAUCAAAAUAGAGAUAGAGAACACGGAAUCAAACUCUAAACCGGGGAUUACACUGCGAACUAUGAGAGUGGAAAGUUCGGUAGGUAGUUUCAUCUCAUUCCGAAACUGUUGACUAAAGAAUUGCACUAAUACGAACAAGGCUCGAACUCGGAACUAGUACUUUCACUUAUAACAAGGGCUUCUCAUAACCAACCUCGAAAUGGAGAACCAACCCUAAGGCGCAGGCUUCCACUCGAACCUGGGAAUGCUACUAGCGCCUAUAAGUCUGAAAUUACUGAGAAAGGAUAUAGCUCUUCAUGCGGAAUCGAAACAUUCCUAUAAGAAUGGGAACUGGUACCUCUAGGACUUCUCCCACUAACUAGAGCAAUUGAACCACUGAGAUAACUAGACUAAAACAGCUUAUAUAAGACUGAAACUACUUCACAAAAAACAGAAUUCUAUAGGCACUAUAAGAAUAGAAACCAGACAUACGAGACCUUAACUAGGAAUACAGGAUAUCGGGCAUCCAAUCCACUCUAAGGCAUUGACAAAAAAGAAAGACUCGAGCUACUGCUAACAGGACUAAAGCAAAGGAAAAAGCAUUGAACUUAGUCGCCGGGUACUGCCUUGCCAAAACCUAGUCUCGUCCACUUCUCCGAUCAAUAAGAAUAGAACCACUAGCAAACAGGCUAAAUAAUCUGACUUGAACUCUUUCGCUACGUACCACGAAGUUAGAACAAUUCCAGUUUUCAGCGGUAGUGAGUUGAGCUUUACUGGCUUGCAAACUUACACUCCCUUAAGUCUGCUUUUCCUACUUAUCGUUCUAUAAGGCCUAGGUUCCUGCCCUCCAUUCCGUAGUUCGAGCUUGGACCUGCCACUCCCGGAAACAUCACUUUUCUUCAUUUUGUAAAGACUAAUAGAGUGGAUUGAUGGAUGAAACACCAAGAUAAGGAUUAAGAAUAAAACGAGUAAGUAAAAGAACCAAGCAGUAGGGACGUAGACGAGCUCUUGAGUCAGGAUACCCAGGCUAUGAAUUGAACUCAUUAGUCUCAGAGGAUCGGAGGAAUCAACAUACCAGACUAGGCUUCUACCCUCAUAGCAAGGAUGAAAUCCAAACCAUAGAAUGCACCUCAUUAGUCUAGGAGUUUCGAAUUCCUCCAGAGAAUCACCCCUAAUACAAGGGAAUCGCAUGCACCAGUCCAUGAAACAAGAAACAAGUAGAGUUCCACUCUGAAUAAUAAGUCUGAGUUAUUAGAUAUCGUAUCAAUAGUUAUGGGUAUCGACAUGAAACAAAGAAACCCUUAUUGACCUAGAGACCUACAUUGCUGUCUCUCAGGCUUAUAGCUCUACCUUUCAUUCCUUUAGUUAGUUGUAGUAGGCCUAAACUCCUGCUUAAGGUGUAAGGCAUUGGGACUAACCCCCAGAUAGUAAGUCCUAGACUCGAUAGCUGCAUUCCGGAUCUCGUAUUUCAGUAUGGAACUCCCGGGGGACAGCUACUCUACCCUGGUCCGCACCUUAACUCUGUAUUUCCGCCUUGACUCCUUGACUCACCUAUUCCAAACUGAGUUCCCUUACGACAAUUAUUUAUUUCACCUGAGCUGUAUCCUUGUUUGCUAGCUUCCCGCUACUAAAACUAUUAGACCGAAACCCAUACUAUUGGAAUUCCAUUACUAAUGAGAAGACUUGAAAUCAGAACCAAGAUAACAACUAUUAACUAGGGUAAAUCGAACUAAGAAUAUGAGAGAAACCCCACCACUGUUAGAAUCCAACUAGUAAUAAUAGGGCUUUCACAGCUACUACUAUACUGCAACAAGUGCUUCUAAUCCUUAUACUAUACUACUGGAAAGAGUGUGACUCCUAAUAGAAGGAAUGAAACAAAGGCAUAUAGGACGGGAACCGGGAACCCGGGCUAACAAGACGGACUCUGCUCACAGGGAACUCAACCACUACUAGUAAGCAUCGAAACCGGAACUCGGGCUAUUACUUAGCAUAGUGGAUGUAUGGAUGGAGCGCUAGGUCGAUCAGGAUCCUAAUACUGACUUCUAAGGUUUAGAACGGAAAGGAUACUAAUACUUACUUCUUAGAACCAGAGCUAUCUAUAAGACAUUGAGUGGAGGAACGAUGCUAGUUCAUCAGAUGUAUUUGAUUUCUUGGAUUGACUAUUUGACUUAUUAGUUGAGUUAGUUCUCUGCUUUAUUUUAUAUCUACACAGAAUCCAAUCACCAGUAUAAGUCCGUUACUCAGUAGUCGAUUUCCAAACAAUGAGAACAAGUCUUGUUGAGCACUAGUGCAUUCCAAUAUUAGCAGUGAAAUCCUUGGCUGUAGUAAAGAAGGAAUGCAAUGCCAGUGAAACUAUAAGAAUAAAUACAGAAAGAUAAGAGUAACCGGGUGGGGCACUAAGAAAGAUAUGGGGUAGUUUAAGAAUAAGAGCCCGGGAAGGCAUACUUCAAAAAAGGGACGGUGGAUUUAGAGUUAGGAGCGGUAGGGCGUGGCUACUAGCUGCCGGCUUUGCUUCUACAGAUAGUAAUGAGUUGGCUUCUUCUCAUGAGAUAGUAAUGGGUGGGCUUCUGGUCGUCUGGGCUUGGUGCUUCUUCUUUGACUAAUGAGUAGUAUUGAUUUGACUAAUGAGUAGUAUUGAUAUGAUCUAGAUAUAGUCUAUUAUUAGACCCAUCGUACACUAUCUUGCCACCUACUAUAUUAGUAAUAGAUCUUAGGCUAUUGAUUUGAGGAAUGGCAGUAAGGAUGAGAUCGAGUAAGUCCCUCUGUUCCUCCCCGGUUGCAUUCUUUGUCCUUCUUAAGCAUUCCAUUCUUCUACUUACUAGUUGACUUCUGACUUUGGUACACCUACUUCUAUCUGCCCCCUAGCUUUAAGGCUUAUACUAUCUAGUUCAAUUCUGUAACUACUGAGAGGUCAUCUGUUCUUGUUGUUACUGGUUUGGUUCUGUAACUCCUUAGCUUCAGUCUGAGGCAUGUGGGUUGCAUUCUGAUAGUCACUAGCUCCAUUCCGAGUCUAACUAGCUCAAUUCUAGUAGUCCAAGAAUCGAACUAGCUACUAGAAGGCUAAGACUGCUAAAGGCUAACCAGGAUGAAACGAGGGAGUCAAAGACUGAAACUCAUAAGUAGCAAAGUAGUUAAGAGCUUCUUUGGAGCAAGUAGGAGAGUCGUUUCAAAGGCUCACACAGGACUUUCCCCUUCAAUAAGAACAGGAACAUGCCUAGCCUAAUUUGAGGCAAGGAAAGAGCAGUGAAUGACUAGGGAGUGUUACCGGAUUGGAUUCUAUCUUCUAUCUUACCUAGCUCUGGCUCUGUGAACUGUAACCUGGCUCUGGCUAUGUGAACUGUAGUUGCCUGGCUCCUAGUUUAGAGUGUGAGUGUAAAUAAGUAUUUGUAGUAGUUGUAGUAUACGCUUGAGGCGAGGAAGCUAUAAGUACUUAAGUGUGGAAUCUGUUUUCCUAUCAUCAGUCAUCCUAUAUAAAUAGAAUAUAUAAUUUAGUAAGGUUUCCUAUACUGUGUAAGUAGACAAAGCAAGAAAUCAAGAAAGAAAGAAUACAGCUAAGAAUAUAGGUCUCGGAGAAAGAGAAGAAUUAAGGUUUAGUUGCAAGCAGGGAGCUUAGGGACAAGUAGCCCAGGGACAGCCCAGGGAACUUAGGGACAAGUAGACAAGUUUUGAUCUCCAAAGUAGGUAGGAAUUUAUGAAUUGAAGUAAGAGUUUAGGAAUAGAAGUUCAUACCAGAAAGUAGGUAGGAAUUUCAGAUAUUGAAGUCAGAGUUUAGGAAUAGAAGUUCAUACCAGGUUGCCUAUAGGGAAUCCACUCUCGUUGCCUAUACGGAUUCCACAGCUUGUCCAGUAGUAGCUUGGCCUGGAGAAUUGUAUUGGAAUUCAACGAACCCUGCCCCACAAAGUAAGUAAACUACCCGAGUAACUGAAGUCAACUACCCGCGCCUAGUAUAGGAAUUCAAUAAGAGCAGAACAGAAAGAUCUUCAUUCACCAAAACCCGUGAAAAAGGGCAGUGAAGUGAUUUGCCCUCCUGGAAGGCAUCAUGGAAAUCCAAAGUUGGCGUUUUCCCGUCUUUUUUCGUUGCAACCCCGAUUUCCCUCCUGGAAGGUCUGAUUGAAAUGAUCUUUUUCAUGAAACCCGUCUUUUUUCAUAGCUUCGUCCUUUUCCUUCCUGAGCCUAUCCAAUUGAUGGAGAUUUUUAUGAAACCCCGUGUUUUUUGAUAGCAAAUGGAGACUUCCGUACUUAUAGCUUGGCUUCAAAGCCUCUCUUCACUACUACCUCGAACAGGACGACUACUUGCUACCCUCUCAUAAACUACUGGCUCUGCUCUAACUGGUUCUCUGGCCUUUGAACUAGCUUCUGCCCCCGCAGUGAAAGCAUGUAAUUACCUUGCUUAAUUCUCUGUCUUACCGCAACGAAGACAUCUAUUGUAAUAACUCCUAAUAACUAUUCCUUGCUGCCGCCUCGAAGACAGGACUUGGCUCUGAUGCUGACUAGAUCAAUUCUCACUUUCCCACUAGCUCACCGAGGAGGUUCAUUCUUGGACUUACUUGCUUGAUUCUUUAACCACUGAGUGCAAUUCCGUAAUUGGUCAGCUCCAUUCUUAGUGUUAGUGCUUGGCCUGAUACUCCCUGGUUGAAGCCUUAGACUGCUUAGGGACAUUCUUUGACCACUUAGUACAAUUCUGACUUCCCCAACAAGGGGUUAAUUCUUGGACUCACUGGUAUUAGUCUCGUUGUUACUGCUUUCAGGCUUGGCUGUCCCUGGGUUCAUUCCGUUCUUGACUACUUUUAUUCUUUA